GCCUGAUUCAUGGUUUAGCACUUAAUGCUUCAUAACGAAGAGCACAAUGGUCAACGAGGUAGAUGACAUCCACAGUUUCAAACUAACUAAUGCAUGGCUCUAACAAGAGGACUUGAAUGUUUAAUUCUGUUUUUCUACGAUGGAGUACAACUAACUCACACCUUAUUUUCUAGAAGAAAGAAAAGAAUACUUAUAUUUAUCACUAGGAUAGUCCAACAAUUCUGUGUCUCUGCUGUGCCCUCGCUUGUUCAAACCCCAACUCAUUCCUUGACUUACACCUCUACAAAAGCAUCAUUCCUACUUGUUCAAACGGUACCUUGACACUUCUAACUCCUACCACCAGUGUCAUGGUGCAGUGGAUGCACUUCUACAAAUCUAGCGACCGACAGUGCAAUCUGUGGCUAAUGACUUGACUGAACAGUUAUCAAAAUUUGUCCAUCCUCUCCUCCGGAAGAAGGCCUAGCUAGUUUUUGACAAAGCCAAAUCUGCUGAAACCAGCAUAUAGUCGCCAUAUUGAUCGAUCCUAAGAACACGGCCCAAGAACGAAGAGUGUACAAAUACAACACCUAGUCAUUAAUUUUAUCCCCAAGUAAAUUAACUCCAUCCAAGUAAGAAAUCAACAGUUCAAGUUCCAAGUUACUUGAAGUACAUUUAUACACGUGCUCACUGCUCAAUCAACGACCUCAUCGCCUACCCAUGCACGCACACGCAUGUAGAGAGGACGUCUACUUGAAGUAGUAUGGGAGGUCGAGCACGUAGAGGAGGAAGUAGGCCCAGACCACGCCGGAGAUGCCGCCGAAGAAGAAGCCUCCGGUGAACUUGGCCCAGCCGUCGGCGGUCUGCAGCUUGUCGGCCUCCUUCUUGCGGCCGGUGAGCGUGAGCGUGGGCGCCGUGGACGGGUCGCCCUCGUUGAAGGAGGCGACGCCGUACAUGGUGAGGCAGACGCUGAGGAUGGUGACGAGCCCGGCGGCGCCCAGGGCGCCCGCCUGGCCGUGCACGGGCGUGUUGCGGAGCGGGCCGGUGAGGGCGAAGGGGCCCACGAGGAGGUAGCCGUGCGCAAGCCCGACCUCGAUGCCGCGGAGCAGCGGGCUCACGGCGGUGCGGUAGGCCGGGAGGUUGGAGAGGUACCAGGCGAUGAGCGGGCUGGAGGUGAUGGGCGUCUCCAGGCUGCCGAUGAAGGGGUCGCCGUUGAUGGGCUGCACCACCUGGUACGUUGUCUGCUCAAGAACAACAGACAGUUUCUAUCAUCAGAGCCAAAGAAUUUUGUUUGAUCAUACAAAGAUAUAUUAUUGAAUUGCUAAUGUUCAGAGCAUCAAAUUGUAUAUCCAAUUUCCAGUCCUGUGAGAUAGAUCAAAAUGAAUCACACAAGAUGACUGAACUGAAAUCAAGAUUCUAGCAGCAGCACACAUGCAAAGAACUGAUCGAUUUGGAAGCAUUUUGAAUGAAAUUGAUAAUUCAUGUUGCCUAUAGCCAAGAGCCAAAUCGAUCAAAACUAUAAAAAAGAUGCAUCACUAUUUCGUUGCUCAGUAGAUCCACUGACCUUCUCAGGCUGGAUGGCCUUCACGGUGAAGCGGGGCCGCCUGGUCAGCGCAGCGCCUGAAAGGCCCCUGGGCCUCGAGUGCACCAAGCCGCUCUUCAUCACCUGGCUCGCCAUGGGAGCGUACGCGGUAGCCAUCUCGACCUCUGCCUGUCUCUCACGAACAGGGCUCUUCCUUCCUGCAAAAUGGUAGAAGAGGUCUCCUUGUAUCGGCCCAAUUAAAGUUUGUGAUCUUUAGAUCCUGCAGGGGGUGUGUGAGAAGAUCUGUGGCGUGUUUGGAUGGAUGGGGCCCUGCAGCUGAGAUAUGGCUCAGAGCUGUGUGGCGCUCAUUGGGUGAAAGGAGUGAGCAACCCUAUCCCUUAUCCGAAUGCGUGGAGAUCUCCUCCCUCCACUGGACGCCUAGCUGGCGCCCCCAGCUUGCUGCCACGUGGAAACAGAAUCUGCUGUGCUUGUGACUUGGACUUCGUUUGGAUCGAUACUGAAGCAAUAUUUAUAUCUGCAGAAAGCAGAGCUGUUUGCGUUUUGGAAUCAAACUUCAACAAUACCAGCUCCCAAUAACCAAGAUCCUUCCUGUACAAUAUAACAAAUAUAUUUUGGGACUUUGUCAAUUCGACCUCAGGUUAGCAUAGUACUGCACAAACAAAAUUCAUAUAGAAGGAAACUCUUCCACCAGACUAUAUAUUGCCUGCGGUGACAAACUGCUUCAGAUGAAAAGAACUAUGCAAUCAAGUAAUGGCUCAGACCAGUGUUCAAUAAAUUUCCUCUUACAAAAGAAUCACUCACAUCGAGGCAUCAAGGCAUAAAAGAAUCAACAAAUGCCCUGUGAAUGGUUUACUACUCUCCAGCAGUUCAUGCUCCAGCAAAACUCAAGGGCCUGGGAGGUCGUUCCCAGUCCCCCAGAUGCUAUCUGACAUCGUACUGUAGGCGCUUGCUUUUCUGAAGACAGUCGUGGUAGCGGUAGAUGAGUCUCAGCAUGCAAUCCCUCAUGCAGGUGACAUCGAAGGAUUCAAUGAACCUCAGGUCUGACAAGCGGGAUUUGCCAGCAGCAUAGCGAUGGUACUCUUCAAAGACAGAUGAUAGGCACCAAUUCUGCAGCUUCCUGAAGCUGCCCACCAGACAUCCAGUGCGGUGCUGGAGUCAUGACAGAGAAAUCAAAUUCAAAGUCAGGACCAAAAAAUCAAGAUUUGAGGCAAUGAGAAGAGAAAAUAAAAGAACCAUCAAUUUAGAAUAAAGAAAUGCAUUUAUUGGUACCUUUCCUCUUUUGCAGUGGAUUAAAACUGGGUGAUUCCUAACAUCUGAGAACCAUAAAAGAGAACGAGUUACUGAUGGGUCAAAAUAGUUCCAUAUGAUCAUUUAACAUUAUUGGUCGACAGCAAAGACAAAUUGGAAAAGAUGGAGCCUAAUUCAGUACCAAGCAAGACCCUAAGAGCCCCCACGAUGGCAUCCACAGGUAUGGACACGUAUGGGUCCUGCAGAUGCAAACAUUUAAAUGUGCUGAACUUGCUGAUAUUGGAAUUCAAAAGAUCAGCAGACAACAAUAGUUGCUUCAAAUGAAAUUAACAGGAAUUAACAAUACAUAGGUCCCAAGUCACAGAUUCGUAAGGUGUAACAACAAGAAUCAAAUAGAAGUCAGACACUGUGUACGCACAAGAAACUGCAUGUCUGUUUUCAGUAAUGCAGUAUCUGAAAGUGUACAAUACCAGAAGAAACAAACUGAUCCUUGACAAGGAAACUGUAUCCAUCUGUACCUGCAACAACUUAUUCAUAACUGUGGAUAAAGGGAGACAGAAUUUUGUAGUAGUCCUGCACUUGGAUACCAUAAUAGGUAAUUUACCAUCCACAUUUGCUUCCAAAUAGGCAAACACCAGAUUAAUGAGCACCUCAAAAACCAGCACAGCGGCAUUCAAACAAUAAAAUUAACAUUCAAUGUAUCAGAAUUUGGAAAUUUAUCUGUUGAUUAUCCACACCACUGCAUCUUUGACAAUUGAUGUUAAGAAUGUCCAAUGGUCUACUUUCCUAAAUUUUAUUAAGGCAAAGUAUUAAAAAUAAGGGAGGCAUCUGAUGCCUGCUCAACUGACAACAAUAAAUACCCUUGCGAAGGUACAUGGAUUCCUUUUACACAGUAAAGAAAAGCUAACUAUAACCACCAUUCAAUGUUCUAAAGCAGUAUACCUUUGGAUCCAUAGAUCUAUCUUAAGAACUACAAAGCAUAUAAUAUAAGUGUACCGAUGUAUUUAUCUUCAAGACUGCAUACCUUUUGCAGUUGAAAUGCAAGUAUAAGCACUAAUUAUCAUUACCUCCAAGUUUGCGCUCUAAUUGGACAAUCCAACUUAAAACUAUCCUAUGACUGGAGGAGUGACUACCAAAGCUUCACAUAAUCCCAUCAGAUUUACCAAAGCAAAAAACAAUAGAAAAAACAUAUAGCUGUGCUGAGUUUUCCUUUCCCCCCAAAGAGCACAUUGAAUUCCACUACUGCCAGAGCGCAAUCGAGGUAAUCAAUCAAUUAAGUACUACGAACAACAUAUCAAAUAAACACGCAAUCUCAUAAGAAUCUAAGGGGAAAACGAGACAUAUAAUACACAAGGGAAGAAAAUAGGAAAUCAGACCCACCUUGGUGCCUUCAAUCCCGAACUGGAAGAGGCGGAUCCCCUCGGCCUUGAGGAACGCGGCGUUGGGCUCCGGGUACGGCUCCGGGCACAGGUACCUGCAGCACCGCCGCGUCAGCCACGGAGAUACGACGGCCCAUAUCGCCACCAAACACGACGCAGGAGGGAACCAAACGAACCGAUCGCAUCCAAUCCAAUAAUUCCAAUCUAACAAUUUCGAUUCGAGGUGGGGGGAUUUCGGCGGCUCACACGACGGAUCGGAGGCCGAGCCCCCGGAUGAAGCCGAAGCUGGCGGCGUCGGGGAAGCCCGAGCGGUAGACCCCCGCGUCCACCAUCCCGAAGUUGGCCGGCGGCGCCACCAGGCCCGUCCCCGCCCCCUCCUCGUCGACCUGCUCCAGGAUCAUGCCUGCCUCCUGGCCCGGCCCCGGCCGGGGCCCCGCCGAUCCGAGGGCGGGUUCGGCGGCGGCGCCGGAGAUCGCGGGGGACGGGAGCGCGCGAAGGGCGGGCGGCUAAGGGCUAGGGCUGGCUCGGUCUCCGCGAGGUGAGGGACGGAUCGCAACGGUCGGCUCGGUCGCCGUGGGGACGGACGGGCGGGGGCGGGGGUGGGAAUGGAAGGGCCCGUGGGCGAUGGGCUGGGCUGACCCGCCGCCUGCCUCUCGUCACGGCACGGGGGACUGGGGUGGGGUGGGGACGUGGGGUGGGGCGCGCGGCCGCACGGGCCCUUCUUGUACGGGUGGCCGGGUGGGCGGGUCAGUGGGAAAAGGUGACGCCUGAGUCCUGACGCGGGAGGAAGGCUCCGACACGGUGCGGCGGGGCUCGGUGGGUGGUGGGGUGGUGUCGUCGUCUCGUUGGGAGGAAGGGGAUGCGGUUUCCAGAACCCAGAGAGGGGUUUGGUUUGGUGAGGCGACGCCUGUAGUUUCGUACGGGCAAUGCAAUCGACGAGCGGGGGAUGUUUGUAAAGGAUCGCAUCCGAUGUUCGGAUGUUAAUGAGAAGGAUUAAAAUAUAAAUUAAUUAUAAAAUUAACUGUACAAAUGGAAUCUAAUUCGUUAAUUAUAAAACUAAUUGUACAAAUGGAAUCUAAUUCGCGAGACGAAUCUAUUAAGGCUAAUUAAUCCAUCAUUAGCAAAUAAUUAUUGUAGCAUCACAUUAUCAAAUCAUGAACUAAUUAGGUUUAAUAGAUUCAUCUCGCAAAUUAGACUCUAUCUAUGCAAUUAAUUUGUAAUUAGACUGUUUAAUACUUUAAUUAGUAUCAAACAUCCGAUGUGACAUGUGAGGCAGGGUAUCCAAAUAAACUAGGGGCCUGUUUGGAUACAGGCUCAUAAAGUUUAGUACCUGUCACAUCGGAUGUUUAGAUACUAAUUAGGAGUAUUAAAUAUAGUCUAAUUACAAAACUAAUUACACAGAUGGAGUCUAAUUCGCGAGACGAAUCUAUUAAGUCUAAUUAGUCCAUGAUUUGACAAUAUGGUACUACAGUAACCAUUUGCUAAUGAUGGAUUAAUUAGGCUUAAUAGAUUCGUCUCGCGAAUUAGUAUAGGGGUUCCGCAGUUAGUUUUAUAAUUAGUUCAUAUUUAGUCCUUCUAAUUAGCGUCCGAACAUCCGAUAUGACCCUCCUCCUAAAAUUUAAAGUUUAGUACAUCGCAUCCCCUAAAAAUUUAAAGUUUAGUACAUCGCAUCCCCUAAGUUUGCGUUAAUUUCAGGAACCGGCUAACGUACGGCCUGUGCAUUUCGGGCAACCAGGUUAUCAAGCUUUUGUCCGCUUUCUUUUUAUGGAAAAUACUUCCACUACAUUUCAAAAGCACAGCCACGGGUGAUCCAGAAACAGAAGAAAUUGCGUAAACAAAACAUGCAAUUCUAUUUAAAAUAUGCAUAUGAUCAAGUAUACACCACAUGAUUCACAACUGCAAAAUAUCAUAAACCUAGCAAUUUGGUUUUUGAUAGUCUAUUUACACAAACAGAUUUGCCUCUCCUUCAUCCCUUCAAUCAAAAAUUGAACAUUCAUGACUCGUGAUUGUGCGGGCAUCUCACAAAAAAAGAACUACCAGCAUAUUAUCAGAGUGCACAUUACUAUACUUCGUACUUGCACAACUGAUGAGCUCCUUUCGUGACCUGCCAUACAGCAAGAAAAAAUGGGACUACAUCAGUUAACAUGGACAUAAUAAAAGGGCAAACAAAUAAAAAUAAGUUGGAUGACCUGAAGAACUAGCAUGUGUAUCCUAAUUAUCAACAGAGGCACUCCAAAUAUAAAAUGUCAUCAGAAAUUGGAUGUUUUGCUUGUUUCGUAGCCAAAAAAAAUGCCUAACUAAAAAUAUUACUUUGCCUAACUAAUAAGAGUGUAUUGCCUAGGCACAGUAAGUAAAUGGCAUUUCAAUAAUAAAAUGAUGCAAACCAAUCUGCGACUAUCAAACUGCUGAAUUGAAUAAGAAAAUAAGGACCAAAGAACUGCACAAACAAGCUUAACAGAUAAGCCAAAAUCAAAAUUGUUUCCGAUGUGGUUGAGCAAAAUCAACCAAACCCACAUGCAGAUACAAUUGGAAAUCAACCACAGAUCAAACCGAAAGCAAAUGGCUGCAAGCUGCUAUGGGAACACAGAUCAAAAUGAGAGCAGAGGACAUGCUAAGGAAACAGAUGGGCUACUAAUCAAACAUCGAGCCUUGUACUGCUGGUGCCAAACAGUGCAAGUAUAAAUAACUAAACUACUCCCAAACCACUCCAAUAGUUGUCACAACUAAACUACUUGAAAAGAUAAAUCAGAAAUAUUUCCUUACCCCCACCUUUUACAUCCACAUCAAUAUCCAUUAUCAACCGUAGUUACUCAAGCUAGUCAUCUAGCUAUCCAACUCAGUACCGCAAAAAAGCAAAAUAACAGAUAGGCAAAACUAGUGAUGCUUAUAUGAUAAAAAAUGCAGGAUCUAGCGCAAAUGCUGCCAUGCCAGGAAAAAAGCCUACAUAUAAUUGAGGGUGAAAAACAUGACAUAUCAUUCCGGUUAAAUAUACGUGCUUGAAUAUCAGAAUCAGAAUGACACAUCACACAUAUCACAUCCAGUUCUGCAAGUGACUAAGAAUAGGACAAAACACUAGAAACAUGUUUUAUCUAAAUCAGGAUAUGUAAAUUGCUUAUCGGAAGCAUUAAAAUGCUAGAAGGACUAAGAUAAUUGCCAAUGAAAAACAAUUAGCAUACUAAUUUGAACAUAGAAAAUGAAAACCUUUUUGGGGGGCACAUAUGACACUGGAUGAUAGCGCACAUCCAUGUGCAUCUACAGUCCUAUAGGCAUUAUAUCAAAUCUCUGGGAAAAAAAAUCUGUAGUGAAAAUUACCAGAAUAAAAAUUGAGUAUGGUGCUUGGGUUAUAGGUGACAUUUUAGUUCUAGGUUACAUUGUAAAAAAAUCAAGUGGUUGUCUAGUGGAUAAAAAGCCAAUAGCACAAAAGCACCAAGCACAAAAUUAAUCAGUAGAAAGCCUGAACAAAAUAGAAUAUCGUGAGAACACUGAAAAUGCUAAUAUCACAACACAAAAACUCAGCUUAAAAACCUAACUUGCAAACUCAUACCAGAGCAUGAAAUUAAGCAGAUAAAUAAAUCUCAACCACCAAGAAACCAAUACUAAGUUGUUCAUCGGGAUUUAACAAAGUUGACAGGCAGCGUAAAAGAAAGCUAAUAGACAAAACUCUGCUGACAGAUUUUUUUUACUGCUUCAAGUUUGGUGCUCAAUCUUCUGUCAUCCAAACAAUCACGUUCUAUGCAUGCAUAUUGUAUAUAUUCAAAAAAAUAAUUUACCUGCACAUUUUAGCCCACCAAACCAUUGCCAUAUCGAGCUAGUAGUACUGCAGUAGUACCAGAAUUUAGUAACUAAUUUCUCAUGUUAAAAUUCUAAGCAUGAAUCUAGAUAUAUUUGAAAAAACUACACCUUUUAUCCCAAAAAAACCAUUGCCAUCUCAAGCUAGAAGUAGUAUCUACCAGAAGUUAGUAACUAUCUCAUGUUAAAACUUGUUCGAGCUUAGCAUAAACACUGCAUCAAACAACCAAGACAUGCACACACUUCAGCUAACACCUCUCAAAAUGGUAUAUCAACACACCUCAUGUCUUACUGCUCUUUGGACUAUUUGUUAAAGAUCAAUAUCAGAAAUGUCAUGAUAAAAAAUAGUUGAGAAUCAAAGCUGCUCACCAAUAUUACUACCAUACAAUCUCAACUACCUAUUUUUCCCAAUUAUCUCAGUUGAUAUAUUGCUCAGAAAAAUAACCAAACUGUGCGGCAACUGAAUUGUGAACCUACGGACAUGACGUCUGGAGCACAACCGGCAUCCGCAUGAAUACAGUGGUGAUUUGCAGCACGAACUCCCUCCAUGUCAACCACUGUGUCCCAGAGCAGAUCUCGUAGCACCAUGGCAUGCUCGUCUCCACCCUUGGCGCACCUAACAGCACCACCAUCAGAAGUUAUAAAACCUGAAACACGCCUCAAAAUAGAGGAGAACAGACAAGGGGACUCCAGCAGAGAGUAUGCGAGGUACGGAAUCAUGGAGACCUCGUCGGCCAUGGCUUCGUCGACCUCCUCAGCGAGCCAGAGGAAGCUCUCUCGUUAGAUUGCGAUGGAGCUUCGCAUUGCCGUAGUCGUCGCCACCGAUUUCUCCUCUUUGCGCGGGGCCGGGUAUAGCCAGAUCCGGCGAGGCGGAGGGCAGGGGACGCGCAAGCCUCGUCGCCGCGUCAGCCACGGCGUCGUCAACCUUGUCAGCAAGUCUGGAGAGGCUCUCUUGGAGGAUCACGAUGAAGCAAGCUGGAUCCGCCAGCCCCAAAUCCCUGAACCCUAACCCGGUCUUGCCUCAAUUAGAGGGAGGUAGGAGGGAAUGAGGAAUAGCAGCAGGAGGAGGAGAACCGACCUCAUCGCCAAUCAUCGCUAUUAGCCAUCAGAGCUCCCCGAAACGCCAUGGAUUUGGAAGAGAGCUUGCGGGAGGGGGAAGAACGGGAGGAGCAAGGAAACAGAAGAGACACGGGUGGGAGAACGGAUAAGGUUGAUGGCCACAUGCGUGUGCAAAUGUUGCGUGGGGAGUAGGGCUGCGGCCGUGCACUGAGCCAAUCUUACGGCCGGCCGGUAGUUUAAAAUUAAUGAAGAUGCUUGUUGCUAUUAAACUGGAAUGUUGGUUGUUGGUUUUAGAAUAAAUGGUGGGUGCAAGAUGGUUGCCAGCCAUCAUCCAAAUCAAAAGAUAGAAUUUAAUGGUUCUUGGCCGUUUUCUCUGUCUCGUGAUGGCGCGCUGCAAACACAUGGUUUUCGAGUACUUUUGGGAAAAAGAAGAUUCUCAAUUAAUACAUGAUAUUCUCCGUCAAUGGUAAAUAUCUCAUGCAAUAGUUAUUAGACAAGAAAUCGCUUAAAACAACAUCGUAUACAAUAAGAGUUUGAUAAACACGCAAGUACUUGUUGGGAAAAAAAAACAAUAAACACGCAAGUCAUGUUACAAUAUUGAUGAUGAUAUUCAAUUUAUUUAGGGGACAUAGUGACAUAUGUUACGUAAAUUUUGUAACCUAUUUUAAUAUAUGCAAGGGCUUCCGUUUGUGAGUCUGUAGACCAUGUUUUCGUUCUUCAAUUAUCAACAAUAAUUGUUGUGCUAUUUUCUUCAUGUCUGGACGAUCUUUGAUGUCGGUGCUCAGAUAUUUAAAUGCAAGAUUGAAGAUAUCUUCAAUAACAACCUCCUCUUCCUUUUUUGCAAUCUCCUCAUCAACCAUAUCAUUUACUAUCUGUUUUCCUUUAAUGAAGCAAGAACGGAAGUAGAUAUGGUGCAAGUUCAUUCUCCACAAAAUCAUCGCAUACCUUCCUCCUAGUGAUGAGUUCUACUAGUACAACUCCGAAACUAGAGGAUGCCUUCACACUUGAACUUUGGACCAGCAUACCCAUUGCUAACUUCUUUUUGCGAGAUUCGUGGUUCUGAAGCAGAAGGUUGAUGAUACUUCUUGUAAUUAUUGCUUUGAGAGGCUCCAUUGCUCAAUGAAGAAGAUACUUGAUUCACAUGCCCAAGUCCAUGACUUAACAUUUGGGGUAUGUUGCCAUGAGUGCUGUGAGGGAUUCCUCCAGCAUUUUAUGCCCCAUAGAGAUGUUCUUCCUUUCGACAAAACUGAGAACCCCUAAAAGAAAUAAAAAAAGUGAGAAAAAUUAGGCUUAAUAGAUUCGUCUUGUCGAAGCCUAAUUUUUCUAAGACACAGUCCCAUGAGAACUCACGCAACACAAUCAGAAUGAGGAUGAGCAUGAUGCCAUAGUUUUUAGAGUUUUGGGCCUUGGCCCAAAUAAAUUCCAGAUAAAUUUUAAAGAUGUGUACUAAAAUUUUUCAGGUGGAUGGUAACCUAUUUUCACAGUGUUCUACCCGCUUAUGAUCCAAGGACUACGCAAGCGGAAAAUUGACCUCUUGUGGUAAGCGAUUAACACAUGUUGUUCACUUAGGGAACAUAUGUGAAAAAUAUGAUUUUUCACAUUUGGUCUACAUAAGGAACCUCAUGUGAUAAUCCUAUUUUUCACAUGUGGUUCCUUAAGUGGACCCAGAUGGUAAUCAUUCCAAAACCUUAAACAAAAGCACCCACACGAAUAAGCUCCAUUGUUCUUCAGCCACCAUCGCACUCGGUCCUACGUGGUAUCGAGGAGCCUAUCUAGAUCCAAACACAAUGAUUAGAUCUCACUACCCUGCAUCCCUUGCAUACUACUCCCUCCGUUUCAAAUUAUAAGUCAUUCCAACUUUCUUGGAGAGUCAAAGCAUCUCAAGUUUGACCAAAUUUAUACAAUAAAGUGCUAACAUUCAUGAUAUCAAAUAGGUACCAUUAGUUUCUUUAUUAAAUAUAUUUUCAUAGUAUAUCUAUUCGGUGCCAUAAACUUUUGUGAUUUUCUCUAUAAUUUUAGUCAAACAUAAAAAUGUUUGACUCUCCAAGAAAGUUGGAAUGACUUAUAAUUUGGAACGGAGGGAGUAGUUCUUAGAUUUGCCUACCUCCGCUAUUGACGAGCUCGCGAUCCACUCCCACAUGGGACGAGGACACAAACGCUACUGAGCUCAUGAAUAUGACCAACCUCCGGAGCACCACCACCACCCAUGUGUAUGAAGUCAUGGAUCCCAGGGAAAACUUUUUCUGUGAAAUUUCAGAGAAAUAUCCAAAAUACGUGUUUAUCAGUAGGUCCCAUAAUUUUUAUCUACCAAAAUUUCAUAUACUGAAACUAUCUAAUAUAUUAAACUUAUGAUAUAUUGCCUUAUUUCUUUGUUGUUACAUACAAUGUUAUGUUAUGAUAUAUGCUAGUUUAGGGACCAUUUCUAGCGAAAUUAUGCAAAAAUAAAUUUUAAGAAAAAAAUUAUCUGAUAUGUUUCCAUCCGAUAAAUUUUAUUUCCUAAUUUUUUUAAGGGCAAACUAUGGGGAACUUCCCCACGGCACUUCAUUUUCAUUUCAUUAUAAAAGAGAUGAAAAAAGUGCAGGGGUAUACUUACAUAUGGAAGAGAAAUAUUUACAAGAAAGGGGAGAGGUGGAUUAAGCUAUGUAAUUGUGUCUAGCCAUGGUAAAACUAUUAGUCUAUGGUCCUCCCUGACACGGUGCAGCUGAAGGACUACUUGCUCCUUGAAUCUCACGACCCAAAGACGUGUUGACACUGUUUUCCCCUCAAAGAUGAUUGCGUCGUUCCUCAUCUUCCAGAUUUCCCAAGCGGCAGUUAAGAAGAUUUCCAUAAAGAAUGGUAGAUGAGAAGCGUCUUUUUGCGAUCCUUACACGGUCAUGUGUAUCGGCUUGGUUACCCCCAGGUUAUAUGCAUAGUGUUCCAGCACCUUACAGAGAAGGGGCACUCAAAAAAGAGAUGGUCUCGCUGCCCCGCGUGCACGUCGACAAGCUGGUGAUCUGGAGCAGUCAAUAGCUUGGCAUUCUAUGCCUUCGCUUUCCAGAGUACCGAUUGGUUACGGAUCACCAACAAUUAUAUAGCUCACCUGUAAUUACUUUGAGCUGCUCUUAGUUUCGCAGAUUCUAAGGCACUGAGAUAAGUUCUCUACAAGGCCCUGUUUGGAAGACUGGUUUUCAGCCUAAAACCGGUGUAAUUUACGGAUCCAGAAUUUUUUCCAAGCUCAACGUGUAAGCCCUUGUUUACUUCGCGAAUUUGGGAGGUGCCAAAUUACUGUAGCAACACUGUAGCGUUUCGUUUGUAUUUGUGAAUUAUUGUCCAAAUAUUGACUAAUUAGGCUCAAAAGAUUCGUCUCGCAAAGUACAACAAAACUGUGCAAUUAGUUUUUGAUUUCGUCUACAUUUAGUACUCCAUGCAUGUACCGCAAGUUUGAUGUGAUGGGGAAUCUUCUUUUUGCAUAGUGUAAAAGUUGGGAGUUUGGAGGUAAGAGAACAAGGGCUAAUUGCUGUUUGGAUAGCAAGUAAACCUAUUUAAAUUACCGUCGGAUUAGCCAGUUACAACCGGAAAUAAAAAAUCUCCUCCGGUGACAACAGUUUUUAUCCGACAAGUAUCGGGCUCCCUCCGCUCGCUCGCUCUGCGGCGGCCACCGGCUCCAUCCUCUCCCUGCUCCGCCCCGUCUGCCGUAGCCGCUAGCUCCAACCUCUCCCUGUCAACGCCGCGCCGCCGCCUGCUCCGCCCCGUCUGCUGCAGCCGCCAGCUCCAACCUCUCCCUGUCAACGCCGCGCCGCCGCCUGCUCCGCCCCGUCUGCUGCAGCCGCCAGCUCCAUCCUCUCCCUGUCAACGCUACGCCGCCGCCCAAUCUUCAGGUGCGGUACUGCCGCUGCUGCGGCCAGCGCCUCCUGCAUCUCAUCUCUACCCAAUCAGAUGCGCCAUCCGGGUCGCUGCUUCUCCGUCGGCGAGCUCCAGAAGUGGUCCUUCCCCAAGUUUGCAUCCGCCGCCAUCGAAAUUUGAUACUCGAUGCGAAUGCUUUUGAUGAAAUAAUGGGCUUGGCCCAUUCUAAUUUUAAAAAUUCCAAAUAAAUAUCAAAAAGUCCAUGUGGUCAUGAGCAAGUGGUGGAGUGGUGCAAUCUUUUAGUUCCAAAUGGCCAACUUAAAUAUGAAAGUUAUCUCUACUCCUCCAAGCUAUGUGUGUGCGGAGAGAAGGAAAGCUCCACGCGCGCUCGCUCGCCACGCCACGUGAUGCGGCUCCUGCGUGAAUAGUCCGCCGAAAUCUAGCCCCUCGCCUUGCGGGGUGCGGUUUCCUUUUGCCGUUUUAUUUUUUGUUUACUUGCCCUUUAAGUCAGCGAGAUAUAUGGAAGUCUAAUCAGUUUAGAUCACGAUCGCGACGUGAGAUAGUGGGCUCUCCUAUAUAUAUACAACCUAUCGGUCUCUACCAAAAAUAUAUCUAAUCGAGCUAGGGUUUUUGCCUCUUCUCACUGCUGCGCCGCUACCGUAGUCUACUCCAUCCCGAGCGCCAGCGUGCACCGGCGAACGGGAAAGCGGGUCUCCGAAACCUCUCGCUCCUGUGAUCCUGCACUGGGAGAGAGCGAAUAAGGUUUUUGGGAAGCGCUCCGCAUGACUGCUCAAGGUCUUCACCACAGCUUGUCUUCCGUCCCAGUCCGGCGUCGCGGCGGCCCAUGGUCUUCGGCGUCAUCUGCUGCGCUCCGUCUGCAACACCGUCGUCGUUCCGUCAGCACCGCUUGCUAUCACAGCUGCAUCCGCAAAGCACGUACGUCGUGAUCCAAUCUGUUAUUUCAGCAUGUUUUCUAAGAUAAUGAAGUUGUGCUUGCUAUUACCUAGUAUGUUAGAUAAUUACAUGCUAGGUUUUAUUCAUAUCAUAAUAAAUCUAGUUUGGAAAUUAAUCAUGCAGUUGUCUAAUUUUUCAACAGCUUUGAGGUUCAAGCCUCCAAUUCGAUGCUCUGGUCGUGAGAUACCUCUUCAGUGCAGCUCCUAUUUGUUGCUCUGGUUUGAAAUUUUUUUGGAAGUCUAAUCAGCCGCUAGGAUUGCUUCAGCUCUCCGGGAGUGGCUCCCUUGCUUCUUUCUCUUUUUUCCCCUUUCUUUUUCGUUCAAUUUGACGUUUGAAAGGAGGCUCCAUGAUUUUACACAAACAGCUAGUUUAGAACAACUCCAAGAGCUCCCUUAACCUACACCAAAACCUUAAUUGGGGAAAAUAGUAAAAAAUAUUGCUCCAACAGGUCCCCUAAACCUCCCGCAAAUUUGCGUUCACCCGCAUCCGGAGCUAUUUUUCCUGUAAAUACACACGGCGCACCUCCUUCCCCAAUCCAUCCACUCACGCCUACUUGCGCCUUUUUUCCCACGCGCGCCAUUUUCCUGAGUGUCUUCGGCGGUGGCAGCGCCGUUCCUUACCCUUGCGGCCACGGCACCCGGGCUUCCCCGAGCGGCGGCGUCGCUGGCCUGUCCUCCCCGAGCGGCGGCAGCGCCCGGCCUUUCCUCCCCGAGCGGCGGCUAAGCCGGCGGCCGGCCCUGUCCUCCCCGAGCGACGGCGGCGUCGGGGCUGUCCUCCCCCCGGCGGCGACCGGCCCUAUCCUCCCUGAGGGCCGCGACAGGAAGGGCCGCACUGUUCUCUGGAUCAUCGGUAACUAGUUCCUAGGUACGUAUCAGAUUUUCCCCAAAUCACAGGCUUCUAGGCUCCAGCAUAUACUGAUGGACCAUGCCUCUAUUUCUAUGUGCAGCUCGAGGCGGAGGAGGCACUACAGCGGCGCCCGGCCUUCCCCGAGGUCUUCUCGGGCGGUAGCGGCGCAAGUUCCCCAGCAGCGGCGGCGCCAGGCCUUCCCGGGCGGCAGUGGCGCAAGAGGCCCGUAGAAGGAGCCACCAAUGUCAAGUGCUCCAAUCCGGCAAGUUCAAGAUCGGCACGACAGGCAGAAGAUGCGUCGGGUCAUGGCUGUCGGCGGCCCCAACACCCAAUGGAAUGGCGGUGUUGCCGGCGAUGAUGAUAAUCCCCUGGCGGAGCAUUACCCUGGCAGCGACACCUCCUAUGCAUCCUUUGAGCACAUGGCCAACGGCAAUAAUUUUCUGAAUGGUAUGGUUCUCAUAAGCUGUUAUCCUAAUUCGUCAAUCAAAUUCAUGUUUUGUUUUUGAAUCAUUUUGCUCAAUGAAUACUCAUCUAUCUGUUCCAUUAAGCUGAGUACCAUUGAGUACCACUGUUCACUUGUUCAAUUCUUGAGAUUUCUGUCCUGGUAAUAUUCUGAAUUAGAUUAGAACAACUUUAGCUGGAAAAUCUGAGCUGAUUGUUCUACACCCAGCAUUCACUAAAUUUGGGACUGCUGAUUGCUUAAUCUUCAAACUCUAUGCCCAAUUUUUGCCGACCUUCACUUCUGUUCCUCUGGAUCAUCAGCUGACGAACUAAUAUGUCCUGAUCAACAAUAAGAAAAGCAUGUACAAUAUUUAUGGAAACAGAGCAAAGGCAUCCAAUCAGUGAGAGUAAAAAAGGACUCAUGCAAGAGCACUUUGAUUAGAAUUGCUAGUACCAUAGUUUAGAUUCAGAGCAGGCUGCCCAUUAUUGUAAAUCUGAGUUAAAAUUCAGCAUCUGUACUUGAGCGCUUGCAGUUGCUUGAGAAAUUGUUACUGCCUACUACUAUUCAUCGACUGAAAACAGGCUGCUCAUUAUUGUGAACAUGAGUUCUGCUUUCUUUUUUCACAGCUUGAGAUAUGAGCUUCAAGUCACUCAUAGUCUCCAGUGUCAUGCUCUGGAAAUCCUGCUUCAGGUGGAGCUGUGCUCGAUUUUCCUAGCAGUGAAUCAUUUUCCGAUGCUUCAAUUGUUGGGUUAUUUGCAAUAAGAUUCCCUCUGUUCAUAUUCUCAAGAAUAUUCUCAAAGUUUUGCCCUUCUUGACUUAUGUUUCAAAGCAUGCUUAAUAUGAUCAACAGUAUAGGGAUAGGAGUCACAGAACAGGAAUAACCACCAUGAUUCUCAAACCUUUACUAUGACAAUGUUGCUUGAGUAAUUGGGAUAGGAGUCCCAGAACAGUUGCUUGAGUAAUUCAGCAUCUAGUUAGGAUGUUGCAGGAAAACAAGUCCUAACCAAAUAAUUUAGUCAUAUAACUGAGCUGACAAAACUAAUUUGGAAAAAAGUUUUGAGAUAUCCAGGCUGCAGCAGCAGCUCUCCCACGUAGAAAAAGAUAUCAAGGCUGACAAACUUACAUUCUCCAAUUUGUAGCAUUAGAAAAAGAAAGGAGCAUCAUAAAACAACUUUGAAAAAGCAGAAGAUACCAGACUGACAAGCGAGCCAUUCUCAAGUGACAAUACCAUUAUAAUUGGAAAGACAAAAUCUUAUUAAUGCCAGGUCAAAAUUCUAAAACCGAGAGCAAUACUUGCGCGAAUUCUGAAAUGGAAUAACCCAACAGAUAUGUUGUUUGACUGAUACAAAAGUACAGAGAUAGUGAGGACAUCUGGUAGUUCUUACAGAAGAAAUGGAAGUGGAAUCCAACUAAAAAUAAUAUAUUUACCUCUGUUCAUCAGCAUGGUAGAAUUACUACUGCUCUAUAUGUUAUGUUCAUUGAGGUUUGAUAGAUAACUUAUCAAUGAUUAAAUGCUUGCAGGAAAUAGAUAUUUUUCCAACAUGAUACUGGAUGAAACCAAUCAAGAAGAUUUUGAUAAUUAUAGCAACACAUAUGCUGACCAACAAUCACAGGCAAUUGAAGAAGUUCCAGCAACCCCAUCCACGAGGUCAAACCAUAAGAUAUCCAAGAAUUUUAGUGACCACAAAGAUGAGGUUUUGGUUUCAGGGUGGCUGAAUGUAAGCUUGGAUCCAAUCGUAGGCAAAGAUCAAAAAAGUGCCAAGUAUUGAUCUCGUAUAUAUGAGUACUUCAAUGAACACAAGACGUGCCCCUCAAUGCAUACCAUAAAUUCUCUCAUGCACUGGUGGGCAUACAAAAAUGUGUGAACAAGUUUUGUGGAUGUCUAUCACGGAUUGAGUUAAGACUUCAGAGUGGUACUUAUUCACUAUGCAAUACAAGGAUUUGUUUCAAAUAUUUUACAUUUAUACAUCAUAUAUGAAUAUCCAUUGGAUGUUGGUGUGCGCAAGUUGCAGAGGCAUGUGCUUUGUACAAGUCCGAAGAUGAACAUAAAAAAGCAUUCCAGUUCAUGAAUUGGAAUAAGCUAAGAACACAAUCAAAAUGGCUUGCUAAAAUUGAUGAAUUGGCUGCAGAAGACAAGCUCAAAUGUUGGCCCAAGUGCAAGUUUACCAAGUGAAUUAGGAGAAGGUGAGGUUCAAGGCAUAGAGGAUAAUGUAUUGACAAGGCCAAUUGGUAAGAAGAAAACAAAAGCAGCACUGCUGCAAGAGAAGAAAAAAAUUAUGACAGCAACCUUAGAAAAUAUGUGGGCACAGAAGAAAGAAACUGAUGGGGAGAAAGAGCUAAAAAAAGAGGAGAAGUUUAACAAAGCAUUUGCUCUUGAACAUGAUCGAGUUGCUCUUGAACAUGAUCGAGUUGCAAAUGAAAAACUACUUCUUGAGUUGAGGAGCCAGGAGGUCCAGUUGCAGAAAAGGAGGGAUGAAGAGAGGAUUAUGACCACGGACCUUACUGCCACGCCAGAUGAGCAAAAGAAAUACUACAUGUCCUUACGGGCUGAGAUCAUGAGCCGACUAUCUAUGCCUAGUGCUUAAUUACUAUCAUGUUUGUUCUGUUGAUUUAGGAACUCUUUUCCAAUUUCAGACUUGUUUUAUUUACUUUGAACCUAUCGAUGAUUUGGUCUGUUUGAUAUUGAACGGUAAAGCCAUUUAGAAAUUUCAGACUUGUUCUGUUCUGCUAAUGAUGGCUUACUUGGUUUGGUAAUUCAGUGAUGCUUUAUGUUGCUUGCUGCAAACAUGAGAGAGUGGUGUUCUGAAGCAAACUGCUUGGUUUGCCUUGUAAUGUCAGGCAUCAUAAUUUUGCACUCUACAAACUUAAGAGGCAGUAUGCAAACAUCCAAUAAAUUAGUAGUAAUGUACCAACAAAUUGUUUAUAUCUGUAUGGUUUAUCUCAAAUUACAAAAAAAAUUUGUAACGUAGCAAAAAUUAUUAAAAGUAACAAUUACUAUGAACUAUAGGCAAUUAUUUGUAGAGGUCUGGAUGAUGUUGCCACAUGUGCUCAAUGAGGUCAUCUUGAAGCUGAUAAAUAUCUUUGUCCCUUAUAUUCUUGUAAUUUUUAAUAAACUCCUCAAGUUCAGGUAUUUCAUCGUGAGAAAUCUUCACCUUUUCUCCCACCCUAUUAUAGUUUAAAUCAUCUUCCUCAUCGCACUCAUCCUCAACUAUCAUGUUGUGCAUAAUGACACAAGCCCUCAUGAUUUGCCUAAGGGUGUCUUGAUCCCAAAAUCGAGCUGGCCUCCUAACGAUAGCGAAACGAGACUGUAGAACCCCAAACGCUCGUUCCACGUCCUUCCUUUAAGCUUCUUAGAUAGUUGCAAAAUAUUUUUUCUUGUUACCUUGUGGUUCAGGUAUGCUCUUCACAAUUAUGGCCCACGAGGGAUAUAUGCCAUCAGCAAGAUAAUAACCCAUUGUAUAUUCAUUGUUAUUAAUGGUAUAAUUCACCUUUGGAGCUUGACCUUCAGCUAGUCGUGCGAAUAAAGAAAACUGGUGCAAAACAUUGAUAUCAUUGUGGGAACCAGUCAUCCCAAAGAAAGCAUGCCAAAUCCAAAGAUCUUUAUCUGCAACAGCUUCAAGUAUAAUUGUAGGCUCAUGCACAUUCCCGGUAUACAUACCUUGCCAUGCUGAAGGAUAAUUUUUUCACCUCCAAUGCAUACAAUCAAUCGACCCAAGCAUACCAGAAAAACCUCUACUCUCUCCAAUGGCAAGUAAUCUAGCAGUAUCAUCUUCAUUAGGUGAUCUCAAGUACUCAUCUUCAAAAACCUCAACAACAGCAUUGACAAACCUUCUUAAACUCUCAAUAGCAGUACUCUCACCAAUACGGACAUAAUCAUCUAUAGCAUGAGCUACUACUCCAUAAGUUAACAUGCGAAAUGCUGCAGUAAUCUUUUGCAGACUAGAAAGGCCAAGUACACCGGCAGCGUUUCUUUUCUGCACAAAAUAUUCAUCGUGUUGCUCUAUCCAUAUACGUACAAAUAGUGUAAGCCUCAUUUGAAACCUGCAUGUCAAGAGUAAUGAGACACAUGUAUAAUAUGAAUUUUUUGAAAAAAUGGUCCAAAUAAAUCUAUUGUUUACGUACCGUCGUCUAAAAUAACUAUGUCCGUACGUAGGAUUAUCUAAAAAAUAAUCUUGAUACAACCUUUGAUGUCCUGCUUGUCUGUCUCGCCGAAGUACUCGAUGACCUAUGAUAGAACCAUGAUGUUUUAUUUCAUCAUCGGACUCAUCCGCAUCCACGGCCAUAUGAGCAACAGAGAGUAAGAAAUCAUCAUCGUCAUCAUCUGACAACGAAUCCAGCACCAGAUGCAUUGAAAGGCUUCGUCGACUCAUAGCGAAUCUUGGACGGUCGGCACCAGAUGCAGAGGCUGCCGGCGUUGCACGACGCACGCAGUGCGCAGGGGCCUUCCCCAAGUGGCAUGAUUAGGAACCGGAUAAGAAAGGACCUGCGCAAGGGCUCCAGUAUCGGCGUUUGGAGGAGGGCGCCGUGUGCAGCUGCCAGUCUGGCGGCGAUGGCAGCUGUGAUCGUGAGGAGGGGAUGGGAAAAAAGGGCCGUGCGCAAGGGCUGGGAAAAUAGGGCCGUGCGCAGCUGCUGUCUGUGGCGUAAUCGUGAUGAGCGUCUACGGCGUGAUCAUGACGAGGCUGGGAAAAAAGGCCGGCGACGCGAGGGUUCCCAAGGUGCUGAAAAAACAACAGAUUCUAAUGAGUCCAAUACGAUGACGUGGCAUGUUUUGAAUUAUUGGAGAAAGUUUUUAACGAUAUGCUAUGAGCUCAUAUAUUUUAGGGGGAAAAGUUUUUAGCAUAACCCUCAAUAACUCAUUUUCUAAGAGAGCUCUUGGAGUUGCUUUGCAGAGGGUUUUUUUUGCACAACAAAUUACAUCUGGAAUCCAUUUACAGGUGAAACAACCUACAAGAUUCCCAAACAGUCGAUGCACACAGAUCCGGAACCUAAAUCAAAAUUGAGAUAAUUUUCCAUAUGUAUCCCCCACAUUUACAGCCAGCAACCGUAUUUUCGCCCUACCAGCUGCACGUACCGGCCCUUAGCCGUGUCACGUGUUACAGCCAUCGAUCCCAAAGAUCCCGAGAAGCUCAGACGGUGGCAAGCUUCUUGCCGAGGAUCAUGUCGUCCGUGGUGAAGUCGGCGGCCUUCCGGAACGUGCCGCGGCCGAAGUCGAGGUUGUACGAGUCGGUGAGCCCCUCGACGAGGUCGAACUCCGGCGUCCACCCAAGCUCCCUGGUCGCCUUCUCGAUCGACGCGAAGAAGUGCUGGAAAUUAAAAUCACCCAGCGUCACAAACACAAGCCAGCUCUCAUCUAUCACUAGUAACACUGAGGGAUCUCUAUCUUUGUACCUGGUCCCUGAACGGGAAGGCCUUCUUCUUGCCGAAGUCGAAGUCCUUGGGGUUGUAGUGGACGAGCUCCGGCUCAGGGAACCCUCCAGCCUGCACAUCAAACAGCCACAUCCAUUGCUGAAUCGCUGAACUCUGAACAUCACUAUUUCUUGUUCUUGGCGAGAUCUCUCAUUACCUUUGCGCAGGCCCGUGCGAGGCCGUCGAAGGUGACGUACUUGGCCCCGGAGAUGUUGAAGAUCUGCUGGCUCGCCUUGGGGUUGCCGAGCACCAGGUUGAACGCCGUGGCCAGGUCCUUGACAUGGCCGAGCUGGGUGAUCUGGUUGCCGGCGCCGGGGAUGGGGAUGGGGCGGCCUUCCUUGAGGCGGUGGAAGAACCACUCCUCGACGGGGUUGUAGUUGAGCGGGCCGUAGAUGUACACGGGCCUGAUCGACGUCCAGUUCACGCCGCGGGAGGUCAGCAGGCUCUCCGUCUCCAGCUUCCCCUUGUGACGGCUCUUGGGGUCCACCGCAUCGCUCUGCCGGCCAAGAACAAUGGUGAGAGCCCCUGGCGCCAUUUUAAUGGUGCCAUUGUGUGACAGAGAGGAUUUGGACAAACCUCGCAGUGUGGAAGAAGGUCGGAUUUCAGGUACACUCCGGCUGAUGAGCAGUAGAUGUACCUGGAAGUUGAUUUUUUGGAAUUUGGGACGAUGAGAGAUGCAUUGGGGGGGUACUGUAUGUAGCUUGUGAAGUGUCAGAUGAAGUGGUUAUAGCUUACUGUUCCAGGUUGGGCAAGGCUUCGAUUAUGGGCUCAACUUCGACAGCCUCGCGUCCUGAAACCACCGUGAGGCAAAAUGCAUCAACAGCAUGAUGCUACACAAUGUUAAUGCUUUGGCGAAAUGCGAUUGACGAUGUGGUGCUAUGCAAUGCUAACUUUUUACUAAAACCUUUCCUAAAACAGACUACUAAGGGUGAUUGCAGAAGAGCACUUUCACGGUGCCCACAGAAUUAGCAUACUGGUUUGCACCUGAGCAGGUUCUUUACAGUCUAUGUAUAGAGUUUUGGACUUUCAGUUGUAGUUAUUUAAGCUUCGAAUAGUAUUACCGUUGAUGUCGUAAACGACAUUGUAUCCCUUAGCAGCAAGGCUUGUCUUGACGAAUUCGAAGUCCAUCCUGUCACCUUUCAAGUGCUGAAUCUGUACAGAUGCAAACCAUCCCAAACCCAGCAUCAAUACGGAUGAACUUGUGAUUUCGGUAACACUUUUAUACUGUCCUAAACAGUAUGAUAUCCUCUAUACCUUUAGUAUCCUUACAUUCUUACACGCACAUUACAUGUGAAGAAUCCUACUGAAUACUGACACAGUGUAUACAUAUGAAGAAAAGAGGAGGAAACAGGGCACCUUGGAGGAGAACUCUGCGUACUCUGCAUCGGACUCUCCUGGCAGCUGCUGGGUGAUGGGUGCCUUUCCUCUAGUGAACAAUGUAACCUGACCAAACAGAACUUCAACUUUUUUUUUUAAAAAAAAACUCUUUCUUUUAACUGACUGUACUAUUGCUUGGCCUACUGAUCAUUGCUGAGCAAAGGCACUACUGACCUGAUGGCCCUCCUUGACAAGGAGCCUGGACAGGAAGACACCAAUGAACCUGGUUCCCCCCAUGACAAGAAUGUUCUUGGAGUCCGCAGCCGCCGAGACCUGAAUCCUCGCCCCUCUCGGCUGCCAUGACCUCCUCCUCUUCUGCCAAACAAAAAUUUCCCACCCCUCAACCACGUCAGGUUCAUCGGCAUGCCGGAAUACGUCACGCUCACUUAUCAACAAAGGCAUUCCUGUUCUGCGGAUUUUGUCACCUGCGUUGAGACGGAGACGGCCGCGCCGCUGAAGUCGGAGAUAGGAGAUGGGAGGAGGAAGCUGCUCUUCAGGGACGCCGUGGCCGCCAUGUCGCUCUUCCUCCGCUCUACUAUAAAACGAAGAAGAAAACAAGAGAGAGAAGGAUUGAUGGCUGUGUAUCGCUUGUCUGGAUCUUGUGGUUCAGUCUGUGCUAAUGGAACAAGGAAAGAGGAGAGAAAUGAGGUGAUGGGACGGUUUUGGCGUGUGUGGAGGGGGAAGCCAGCCCUAUCCUCUGUUGGAUCAUCUCCUCUCGUUCUUUCAUCUGUCCACUUGUUGGCAGCUUGCUGAUCGGCUGAUACUGAUAGCGACAUCUUUGUUCUAGGACAAACCAUGGGUGAGAAGGACUAAAGGUGUGUCCAAUCGUUGUUCGUUUAAACAUAUAUUGUAGCUCAAUUUGCUAUUGGGCAAUUGCUAGCAUUCCUCUAAUAAAAAAUAUACAGUUAUUAAAGUGGGAAUAAUUUUAAAAAAAUGCCAUAAAAGACAUAUGAUUGGAAAUUUCUAUUUGAUGCACCACGGAACCAGACACUUUGCCGAGUACCACAGACACUCGACGAAGACACGAAAACACUCGGCAAAGGCUUUGCUGAGUGUAACAUUCGGCAAACAGCAUACGGCAAAUUUCCUGUCGGCAAAGACUAGUUUGCCGAGUGUCAAAACUCGAGCACUCGGCAAACAUUUUGCCGACGGCCAAAAAACACUCGGUGAAAAUAUGUACUCGGUGAAAUACGCGCUGACGGCGUCGGGGGUAACGGCGGGUUUGCCGAGUGCCAGACGGUAGACACUCGGCAAAACCGGCUUGUUUGCCGAGUGCCUUGUCCCUGGCACUCAGCAAACAAGGGGUCUUUGCCGAGUGCCUUGUCCCUGGCACUCGGCAAACAACUUGCGCUGCACCAGGGAAUUAGAGCCUUUGCCGAGUGCUUUGUCCCUAGCACUCGGCAAACAAGGGGUCUUUGCCGAGUGCCUUGUCCCUGGCACUCGGCAAACAACCUGUGCCGCACCUGGGAAAUGCACCUUUGCCGAGUGUUAAAGCCAAAACACUUGGCAAAGGACUCUCUUUGCCGAGUGUUACACUCGGCAAAGUGACCAGAACCCUCCCUUUUUCCCAUUUUCCCACGUAUAACGGACCCCUCUCAAUUCACAAUACACAUCAUCACAGGCAUUUGUAAUAAACAAUCACAUGCAUAAUUCACAACCACCAUUAGAAACAUUAUUCAUAAACAUCACAGGCAUAAUUCAACAUAAGCACAAAACAAUCCAUAAAUCCAAGUUCAAGUCACAAUUUAGUUCACAACCAAGUCUAGUUCUGUGGAGGCCAAGGAGACCACUGCGACAAAUCUUGAUCUUCAUUAUUCGAAGCCGCCGAUUGAUUCUGCACAUAGGAUAGGACAUUCUGAACUAACAUCUAAAGUUGUCAAAAUUAAAGUAUUGAAUCUUAAGCACAAUGUGUCAAGUGACUCACAGGAGUAGUCGUGGGUGGCUGAGGCGGAGGGAACAUCAUCGGCGGUGGUGGAGGCAAAGACUGUCCCAUGCUUGAAGCAAAAUUCUGCAUGUACUGGAACAUCUGCUCCAUCCUAAUCCGGUUUUCUUCCUCCAUCCUCCGCCGCAUGUCCUCCAUCUGCGCCACCAUCUCCUCUUGUUUCUUCCUUGCUUCUUCCACCUGGACCUACAAUAUUUCAUUGCAAUGUUAUAAUGCAAAGCUAAAGUAUAACAACAAACGAACGAUGAAUGGAAGAGAAAGAACCUGGAGAGCCUCCAUCUGGAACUGUGCAGUGGUGGGUCGUGGCCGUAUCGCCGGGCUCGAGUCCGUGCUCCUAGCUCGGAUCUGGGAGAGAGUGGGAGUAGAGGCCGUGUCGAUGACGCCGUCGCCAAUCCAAUAUCGGCUAUGCUUCUUGCCUCCUCCCACCCUCAUCACGAUUUCUCCAUCAAUGUCCUCGGAGCUCGGAUCGAAGUCUGGCCCAUGAAGCUCCCUAGCCAUCUUUGUAUACUCGUUGAAGCGGCUGUGUAUGCUAGGGUGGCUGUACGCCUCGGACGGGUCGUCUGGGUUGAAAUCGAUAUCGGCCGUCGCCUUGCCCUUUUUGGAGAGGACCCAUGCCUUGAGCUGGGAGCAAGGUCGGCCAUCAUGUGACGCCGACUGCGGCAAAAAAUACAAAAUGAUUAGGAAUUAUGUAGAACUGAACGUUACAAUAAACAAUUGAAGUUGCGUACCCAUUUUUCUCUAUAUUCAUCAAGGCUUAGGCUGCCUUGAUGGUGUGGUGCAGUCGGCAUCUGCAAACGCCGCUGCCGGCAAGCAAGGUGGUUCUCCAACCACCCGGGCUCCAACCACACGUCGACCAUCCUCUCCCAGCACGGCAUAUGCGCACGACACCACCACGGAGACCACCCCGUCUUGUCAAGCCAUUCAUUGGUCAACGUAUUCUGACUAGUGCGACCCGUGUACAUCCACUGACGAUCCUCCAUCCUCUACCAUUUAAGUGAGUAAUACAAAAUUCACAUUGCAUAUACACGUUCCUAUAUUGUCUACUAGGUAAAGAUAGGUCCUAAUCCCACCCGAGGAUGUGAGGUGGGUUUCGUAUCUAUGGUUUACUCCGACCCCGAGAAAAAAUUCUGGGCCACCUUCCCAGAUGUUCUCCAAAGUUAUAUCCCUUUAAUGAGUCUCUGAAAUUUGAGCAUCCCAGAGCUGCAAUGAGAAAAUACAAAAAAGAUUUGAGGUCAAUCUUGAAAACAAAAUNNNNNNNNNNNNNNNNNNNNNNNNNNNNNNNNNNNNNNNNNNNNNNNNNNNNNNNNNNNNNNNNNNNNNNNNNNNNNNNNNNNNNNNNNNNNNNNNNNNNNNNNNNNNNNNNNNNNNNNNNNNNNNNNNNNNNNNNNNNNNNNNNNNNNNNNNNNNNNNNNNNNNNNNNNNNNNNNNNNNNNNNNNNNNNNNNNNNNNNNNNNNNNNNNNNNNNNNNNNNNNNNNNNNNNNNNNNNNNNNNNNNNNNNNNNNNNNNNNNNNNNNNNNNNNNNNNNNNNNNNNNNNNNNNNNNNNNNNNNNNNNNNNNNNNNNNNNNNNNNNNNNNNNNNNNNNNNNNNNNNNNNNNNNNNNNNNNNNNNNNNNNNNNNNNNNNNNNNNNNNNNNNNNNNNNNNNNNNNNNNNNNNNNNNNNNNNNNNNNNNNNNNNNNNNNNNNNNNNNNNNNNNNNNNNNNNNNNNNNNNNNNNNNNNNNNNNNNNNNNNNNNNNNNNNNNNNNNNNNNNNNNNNNNNNNNNNNNNNNNNNNNNNNNNNNNNNNNNNNNNNNNNNNNNNNNNNNNNNNNNNNNNNNNNNNNNNNNNNNNNNNNNNNNNNNNNNNNNNNNNNNNNNNNNNNNNNNNNNNNNNNNNNNNNNNNNNNNNNNNNNNNNNNNNNNNNNCCCCCGGUGAGUCCUGGCGUACGACGAAUUAAAGCCGAGUGCUAGAUCAAGGGCACUCGGCAAAGGCUAUUUCCCCAUGAAUUUGUGACUCACACUGACACAUGGACCCUUGGCGGGCUUUGCCGAGUGCUCUGGGGUGACACUCGGCAAACAAAGUAAUUGCCGAGUGCCCUACUGCAACACUCGGCAAAAAGGUACCCAUAUUGCAUGUGCAAAAGCACUUUUAGUAAUUAAAAGUAUGUAAACUUUGUGUAAACCUAGUCAAAUUCACUAAACAUUGUGUAUUCCAUUUUUUAAGUAAUAUUGUUCCAUUAUUUCAUGGAUUUAUAGCUCAUAUUGAAUUUAUAUCUAUUAAAUUCAUAUACUUGCAAUUAAUAAAUAAAAAUUAUCAAACGGAUCCGAAAAAUCCCCAAAAUUUGACAUGAACCAAUCUAUGUUCUCUAUGGCCUAUAAAAAUAAAUUAGGACUCAAUGACAAAUUUAAGUAUCGAUUCGACUCAAAAUCUUACUGGAUCCUUCCAACUUCUACGAAUCCUCUCCGGAGAUGCUUCGAAUUCUAAGCAUCAUAUGUCAAAACUUGUGCGAAACCUUGUCAAUUUUUUACCACAGCCUCUGCAUAUGAAAUCAUAGCAUCUUGCAAAAUCUCGUGAUUUUCAAACUUCGUUUGUAUUUUUGAGAAUUACAAAAUCAUUUAGCCACACGUUCGUAGUCGUGUUUCCUUAACAAAAUGUUCGAAAUUUCUUUUCAUUUUUUGGGUAAGACCUCAAUUUGGACUCACUAACAUGAAUAUGAUUUUUCCACUCAUAUUAUUCCAUUAUUCCAAACACCUGCAGUUCAAAUUUGACUUAAAUCAACAAAUUACUCUAAAUGAAAUUAAUUGAUUAAAUAUAGCAAACAGGUCAAUAAGAAGUCCACCUUGUACCAUGCAGUGGCAAAUCUCAUACAUGUGGAGUAUAAAAAGUUUGGAGGGGGGAGGAGGGAAUUUUUUUUUGCCGAGUGUGCCAAAAAACACUCGGCAACCUCUCAGGUUUGCCGAGUGCCCCACCGAGACACUCGGCAAACUCGCAUCUUUGCCGAGUGCCCCAUCGAGACACUCGGCAAACGGGUCCUUCGCCGAGUGCCCACAAUAAUACACUCGGCGAAGAAAUUACACUCGGCGACUUUGAGGUUUCCCGUAGUGAUGCUAGGCAGAUGAGUGAGGAAAAGGCAUACAAUCCGAAAAUAUUAACUGAUCCAUCAAAAAAGAGAAAAUAUUAUUUGAUGCUACGCUGACAAGUGGGGCACAGGGCCAGAAUGAGAGCUUUACUAUCCUAUGCAACUGAGCUUUGCAAAGGCCACAGGUGGACCUUCAAAUGGACAUUCCAAUUUCAUGUCACUGUGUUUUUUCUACCGGAUUUAUCAAAAUCUUUUUUUUGAACGGACAGGCACGGGAUUGUGCCUAUUUCAUUGAUAGAGUAGGAGUAUACAGGAAAUAAAGAAAAAGAAGAGGCUGAAGGGACUACUCUCGUGCUGGAAGUAAUGCUAAAUCUUUGGUCCCCACCAAGAGCCAAGCUGAGGCCUCAUCCUUAAUUUUCGCCAUUGUUGAGGUCUCGUGUCUGUUGAAGAUGCGUGCAUUCCACUCUCUCCAAAUCUCCCGCAUGAUGAGAAGAGUGAGACUUCUUAGAGCCUUACGCGGUGAAUCUGGUGUUGUAGUUAUAGAAGUCCACCGUUCCAGAGCGUUGGAUAAGGGUCGCCAGGCAUUGGGCCUUAGGCUAGGCUGCGCUAGCCAUGUCGCCAUUAGAUCCCAUAUCCUCCUUGUGUACCUGCCCUCGGCCAAAAUAUGGUGACUAGUCUCCAUGGUACGUCUGCAAAGAGCGCAAGUGGCGUUGUGAGGUCAUCAGCGUUUGGCCAACCUGUCAGCUGACCAAACUCGGUUUUGUGGAAUUAGCCACGCGAAGAAUUUACACUUUGGUGGCGCCCACGUUUUCUAGAUGGAAGAGAUAUUCGGUGUUUCGGUGCAAUCCCUCCUGUGCUUUAUAUGUCGAAGCCAUUGUGUACAUGCCCGAUUUUGUCAGCUUCCAGGUGAUAGUAUCAGCUUCCCUGGCUGGAGUUCCAUACGUCUGACCAUAUCCCAUAGCUAGGUGAAUGACGCUAAAAGUGAAGUAUUGAUGUUGUUGUCGAUUUUAAGGUCACGAAUCUAGUUGUUAUUACUGAUGGCAUCAUGGACGGUCCUGUUCUUUCUUCGUGAAAUAUCGAAGAGGAGCGGGGCGAUGUCCUUUGGACGCUGGCCAUGUAGCCAGCCAGAUGUCCAGAAGCUGGCCUUUUUGCCGUCGCCCAGGGUGAUAGCCGUGCAUGCAGUAAAUAGUUGCCUGUCCGACUCAUCGCAUGGGGUUUCCGUGUUGUGCCAAGGCUUUUUUGGUGACGUCCAUUCAUGCCAAAGCCACCUGAGCUGGAGGGCUCGUGCGAAUUUCUCAACAUCUAGGAUGUCCAGUCCCCCAUAUUGUUUCAGUAGGCAGGUUUUCAUCCAGUUGACUUUGCAUUUACCCCCGGUUAGUUGUUGGUCUCCCGCCCAGAGGAAAUUUUUACGGAUUUUGUCUAAGUCUUGGAGUACCUCAUUGCUUGGCUUUAGAGUUGUAAGGAAAUAUACCGGCUGCGAAGAAAGGACCGACUUCGUGAGGGUUAUUCUACCUGCCUGUGUUAGAUUUCGUCCAGUCCAUGCUGACAGUUUACCUGCCACUUUAUCUAUGAGUGGUUGGAACUCAAUUUUCCUGAGGCACCUUGUUGAUAAGGGAAGACCAAGGUAGCGCAUGGGGAAGCUUGUUCUUGUCACCAGCAAAUCGUUGAGUAAGUGGUCAAGAUCGAUGGUAUGGCAGCUGAUGGGCGCAAUCUGUGUCUUGUGCAGGUUCGUGCGUAGUCCUGUGGCUUCCCCGAAUUGUUGCAAUAUGCUCGCCAAGUUGGAGAUGUCUUUGCGUGUGGGCUUAAUAAAAAUGGCAGCGCCGUCCGCGUACAGGGAUGUUGUAAAUCUUACCGCUCUUCCUCCUAGCUUGGUGAGUAGGCCCCUAUGAGUCGCGUGAGCAAUAAUGUGUUGUAGUGGGUCAAUGGCUAGAACAAAAAGAAGGGGUGAAAGUAGGUCACCCUGUCUGAGGCCUCUGCCAUGCUGGAUCGGUGGCAAAGGCGUGCCGUUAAGUAGCACUUUUGAAGUUGAGGUAGCAAGGAGGGCCAUGAUCCAUUGGUUUCAACGAGCAGGAAAGCUUUUGUGUUGCAGCAAGUCGAUGAGGUAGUCCCAUCGGACUGAAUCGAAUGCUUUAGAGAUGUCUAGCUUCAUGAAUAGAUAUGAUAUUUCAGCGUCAUAGUCAUUUUGUCCAAGUUAUAUUUGUAAAACUGUACAUAAACAAUCAAAGUGGGACAGUGACAGCUUUGUAAAGUAAUAAGCAAUCAUCCUCAAAACACAAAACUCUAAAACGAAAAGAAAAGAACUAUCUUUAUUUUGAAGCCCUGAACUACUUGGCACUUUAUUCCUAAGAACCAAAACUGGUGUCCCCAAAUCGCAAACAAGCACAUGCUAGCGACCAUACAGUUCCUUCACUCGUUUUUAAUCAUCUUCCGGAACCAGCGUGCAGAGUCCUUGGGGUACCUCGCGAACGUGGUUCGGUCCACGUAUACGAUUCCAAAUUUGGAGGUGAACCCAAGCCGCCACUCAAAGUUGUCCAGCAGUGACCAAGCAAAGUAUCCGAUGACAUUUGCGCCGUCGUGUAUCGCGCAUUGGAGCUCAUAAAGGUACUUCUCGAAGUAGUCUAUCCUGAACUUGUCGUACAAUGCACCGGGCAAAGAAUCAUUUCCGGAUUGAUCGAUUCCUGGACAUAUGAUCAUUGAAUUUUGCAUCAAGGUUCAUGCCUUUAAGAUUGUGUCACAAUGCUACUGUUCAAUUUAUGAUAACUGAAGAGCUGCUGGGUGAUUUACCGUUUUCGCCGAUGAGCAUGACAGGGUUGUUGAACUUCUCCUUAGUCCAAAGGAGAGCUUUGUAGAGCCCCCAUGGUACCACGUAAAGCCAGUCAGAGUAUCCCUGCAUAAGUAUUUGCAGAUCAGAAAUUUUUUUUGCCUAAGUUGUAAUCUUGUUCAUUAUCUGGGUCAAAUGUAGCGAUUGAUGAAAAAUAUUGUUACCUUUUUCCCAAUUGGCACACCGUUUCGCUCAUCUGAAUAGAUGAUCCAAGGUGUUAGCUAUGCGGAUAAAGAUUCAUCAAAUAAAAAGAUGGCUUUUGUAAGUUGUUAGCGCGCGUUGAAUAACCGUACAUGAAAGCUUGACAUGCCAGUCGUUCACAUAACUCGUGUGUGUCUCGUUGGCGAAGUUGCUGGCAUAAUAUGUGGUGUAGUGGUUGAUGGCGAUGUAAUCUGCCGAGCCUUUCACCAUUGCAGACUGCUCAAAGGUGAAGUUGGGCAGCCUUCCCAUCACAAUCUUCUCCAUCGUCUCCGGGUAAUGGCCGAAGGUGAUCGGGUGCAGGAACCUGAAACAAAAUUGAAUCGGAUGUGUGUUCAGUUCAGUCCAGCCACCGCUGCGCCCGUGGUACCAUUAGAUGCUGAUGUGUAAGGUUUAUCACCAGCCAAGGGUGAACAUCCUCGCCCGGUGCGCUGCGAAUUCGUCGUCCAUGGAGGGUGUGAGUGGCUCAUACCACACGAAGUCGAGCAGGAUGCCGAUCUUCCCAGUCUGCUGAGCCUGAAAUGUGCUUUCCGGCAUGAUGAGCAUGGUGCAAACUGGAAAGAAAGAUUGUUAACGUAGAAUGAGGAGAAUGGGGCAGUCACUAGCCUGGUACUUCUCACGGUACAACUUGACAGCAGAGGCAUGGGCCAGGAGAAGAUGAUGGGCGGCGAUGUACGGCUCGGUGGCGGAGUUUCCACCGAAGUGGCAGCCGGUGCAUCUGGCAGGGGGGAAGAAGCCGUCUCCGUAGCCGUGGGCGGCCAUCAUCCUGGGCUCGUUUAUGGUGAACCAGUUCUUCACCCGGUCACCAUACGUCUUAAAGCAAAAAUCUGCGAACUUCGUGAAAUCUUCCCUGCAAAAUGGUAGGCAUGAACACAAACCAGGUUAUGUUAUGACUUUUUGAAAACAGUAGUAUGGUUUUCUUGUAGUUUUGCUGCUAGAAAGAUGGUGUUGAUCGUGAACACUACUUACACAAUUCUGGGGCUUAGCCAGCCGUUAUACUGGUCUUGCAGCACCUGAGGAAGGUCGUAGUGGUAGAGCACAACAUAGGGAGUAAUAUCUGGUCCACAAAAAAAAGACAAGUCUCAUCAGUUAAAUGCAUCCAAAUCUGGCAUUCACAAGAAAGAAAUCUCCUUGGCAAGAACACAAAGAAAGGUCAAGAUCAUUGUCUUUACGGCUCUCGAUCAAGUAGUUGAUGAGCCUGUGGUAAUAAUCCACACCAUCCUUGUUGAUCCUCCCAAUUCCACCUGCAUUUUUUUCCCAAAAAAACAGAAAGACAUUGCAGGGAAAACCCUAUGAGUCACCACUGAUUGUAACUUUGUGAGUAUGUUUCAGCACGUACUUGGGAAAAUGCGUGACCAUGAGAUCGAGAAGCGGUACGCAUCGAAGCCAACCCGCACCAUAUUGUCCACAUCGUCCUGCAAGAAGAGACAACCGGGAGAGAAAAAAAGGAACUCAAAUGAAUCAGACAUAGACAUAGAUCAUUUAGAAACCGAAGCACCAAGAUCAGACAUUGGACGAACCAUGUAGCGAUUGUACUCGUCGACUGUCACAUUCGCAGUGGAGUUAUCAGGAGUAGUACCUGCCCAAGCACAUCCAGGAGUGGCCAUCAGCGACAGACGUCAGAUCAGGGGCGCCACAUGCAUCUUCAAGUAUGUAGUAAUGCACGAUCGUUUCAUCCAUCUCACCUGGGUACUUGAGGAAGGUGUCCCAGAUGCAGGGCCCCCUGCCGUACUUGAGCGUGUUCCCCUCCACCUGGUACGCCGACGACGCGGUCCCGAAGACGAACCCGGGCGGGAAGGCCUGCCUGGUGAGGUUGCCGUGGUCACCUGGCUUGCCGUGCGCGCCGAGCGCCAGGGAGAGGGCGAGGAGCCCAUGGAAGAGCAGGAGGGGCAAUGGCGCAGGGGUCGCCAUGUCGGAGGACAGUGGCAGGUGAGGGACUCGGAGGUGGCGGGGGGAGUCUGAUCUGCGUAGGCCGCUAUAUAUGGAGACCGGGGAGCGGAGGACGCGAUCCGGCAGCCGCAUGCAAGAGCAGAGCUGAAAUGGCGGCGCUGGGUUUGAACAAGAGACUGUUUCUUUCUUGCACGCGUAGGGGUAGCUCUCCCACGCACUCCUCGUCCCGGUGAUUGUGGAGACGUGCCUCUGUACUCGUCCUCAGCCACCAGUAUUUCUUACUCCUAUAUUUCUAUUUCUUUUCGGGGUUUUGGAAUGGGUGAUUAGUUAGGCUUUGAUGCUAUGAUGUUGCAUUUUCCUUCUUGAGCUCCGUGAUGUUUCUAGAGUGGGCGUGGCGUGCGCCGCAUGAGGAGAUCAUAAGUGCAUCACCAGAAUAUUUCUGGACUUGAGAUGUGGUCAUGGCCUACAGGAUCAAAUCUAUGUUGUAACUUAUUGUAUCUCACUAAUGUGGCUAUUUUUUUAUGCUGGAUGACGUGUCCAUUGAUAGUAAGACGUCUAUGUCAUUGAUAGUAAGAUGUCUAUGGUGACCAUCAAUCUCAGUUUGCAGGUUCAAUCUUAUCAUUAUGAUAGGGUGCACGUGCGUGGUUCUUAGACCAAACCUCCGAGAUUGAAAGAAACGAAAUCCAGGUCAUCAGUAAACAUAAUGAGAAAAUCUGAAUCAUCACUGUAUUAUUCAAUCUUUUCCUUUUAAAAAUAUAAUAAUAAUAAGCAUGUUUUCAUAUAUUUAUUGAGCUCGUAGACUCCCUUUGUCCUAAAACGCACUCACAUUUAAACUUCUUAAGCUUUGACCAACAAUUAGUCUAACAAAUAUGAAAAGGUUGUGUUAUGGAAUUGUGGUUACAUUACAUUUGUAAUUAGAAAUAUAGGAAUCUUACUGUUACUAAUUGGAGGAUCUUUUUGAAGCUUUCAGGUGAAGCCACCUAGGAUUCCUAGGUGAACACUCUAGAAAAAGAGGGAAAUCCUAAAAAUUCUUACAAAAAAGCAAAACAUCCGACCAUCAAUCGAUAUAUUCAAAUCAUCAUAGCCAUUGGAUCUAUUAUGUUUUCUAAAAAAUUACCCACCUAUGCUAUUAUGAAAAUAGCCUAAAGUAACCCCCUAAAUCUAUAUAUAAAUUACCCACCUCUGCCAUUAUAUAAAAUAAACUAAAGUAGCCCUCUAAUCUUUAUCCAAAUUACCUACUUAUGCCAUUAUAAAUAAUAUUUAAAAUAACCCUCUAAUUUGCAACUGAAUUGCCUACCCCUAUUACUUAAGUUUAAACUUAAAGUAACCCCUUAAAUUUGCAUCUAUAUUACCCACAUAUGCCAUUAUUAAAAAUAACAUGAGGUAACCCUACAUUUGAAUCAAAUAACCUUAAUUAAAAAUAUACAGCAAUAUAUGAUUCAAAAUCGUUUAUAUCUUUCACUAUUGGUAUAUGAUAUAACAAUUAAGGUCUAUACGCAUGAUUUGUGUCACCAUUUAUAGGGAUAUAAAAUAAUGAUAAUAUAGAUUUUUAUGCUAAAAUUGUAUCUCAAACUUAGGGUUCAUUAAAUAAAUUCAAGCGUAUACCUGUGAUGCAAAGUGAAAAGUUAAAGAUUAUAAAUGAGGUUGAAAAUAUUAUAGAGUAAUUACUAACUAAAAUCGAUCACAAUUGGAUGAAGAUAUUAAGUAUAUAUCUACAUAAAUAUUGUGUUCGAAUAUUUAACAAACGAGAGGUAGUUUAUGGUAAUAGUUUUGUAGCAGUGUAGUCUCAUUUUUUUUCCAUCGGAGACUCCACAAAAAAAGAGACAAAUUCUCAUAAAAAUUAAAAACAUCAAACACCAAUCCUGUAAACUCUAAUAAUCAUAGCCAUUGAUCUAUUAUAUUUUCUAAAAAGUUACCCACCACUGUCAUUAUGAAAAUAUUCAAAAAUAAGCUCUAAACCUAUAUCUAAAUUACCGAGCUCAACUAUUAUAAAAAAUAAUCUAAAGUAACCCCAUCAUCUUCAUCCAAUUUACUAAUACACAUAAUUAUAAAGCAUAACUUAAAAUGUCAUUCUAAAAUUUUAUCUAUGUUACCCAUGUGUGUCAUUAUUAAAAAUAACCUAAAGUAAACACCUAAAUAUUAAUCUAAUUAUCUUCAUGUGCAUCAUACAAAAAUAUCAAAAAGUAAACUAAUAUAUGAUUCUAAAUUACGUAUUUAUGUCAUUAUUAAUAUAAAAAUACUAAGUUAAAGUAUAUACACAUGAUGAGUGCCACCAUUUAGACUAUUUAUACAUGUAUGUGAGGAAUCCAUAAAAAAUAUUGGUUUGUAUGCUAAACAUAAUGUAUGGAGGAUUGGAGGUGUGAUACAAAAUGGAAAAAGUACGAAUAUGGAUGAAAACGUGCAUAGAGUAAUUAUUGAUUAAAAAUCAAUCACAACUAGACAAAGAUAGAUAUAUAUAUAUAUCUAUAUAAGUAUUAUGUUGAAGUAUUGAAAAAUAAGAGAGUGGUAGGUAAACAAUUUUGAUUAUUAGCUAGGAGUUUAAUUUUUAAAUAAUUUUUAAAUACAAUAUCAUCUAAAAACAUUAGCCCGUGCGGGAGCACGAGUUGAUGGACUAGUACUUUUUAAUGAUCAAACUUUUGUUGGCACAAACCGUAGACUCCAAGAGAAAUUAGCGGUCAAAGUGUGUUCUUGAAGACCAAGCCAAACCGUACACAGGUCGAGCUAGAAACUCAAUAUUUUCUUGUUAGGGAGGAAAUAAGCCACUGUUUCGUUUAUUUUCGCAUGUUUGACACGAAAUAGGAUUGUGAGAACGCGUGUAGUUCGUGGAAUAAAAUAAACGUGAGCGUGCCAGUGUACUAAGUACACGAAUAAAAAACAAGUAGGGAAACGAGUAUUUCAUUAAUUCUUUGAUCAACAAAAUUACAAGUUCCCUUCAUAUAGCGCGCGCCAUAGCCUCAUGUGAGGGACAUCUGAUUCAAGUAAUGCGGUCUUCUGAUUUCCGGGGCUUUAGAAAACUCCCAGUUAAUUACUCCCCACGAAUCAAAUCCGUGGGACACCUCCGAUUAAGCUGCGCGUGGUCGUCGUUUUCGUCUUCGCUUCACUUCUUCCAUGCAGAUGAAUGAUGGUGGUAGGUACAGGCGUAGGCAUGAUCCACGGCCUCGUCGGUCCGUGGUGCCGUUUAUAGCGCGGCCAUUGCUGAUGCCGCGGCCGCCUCGUCGUCCGGGCUCGUCGGACAGGGACGACGUGUAAAGUGUUGUUGGUUGAUGGUACAUGCAUGAGGAAGAGGAGCGUGGCGUCGGCGACGUCCUAUCGCAGCUUCGUGGUGUACGUAUACGUAUAAAUCAUGGGCCUGAACUUGUGGCCUAGUACUUUGAGGAUAAGCUUGAACGGGCAGCGCUUCUGUAGAAUAGCUAGGCGGCCUAGUAGCAGCUCCGGCAGACAGACCGCGGCAACAUGUACAGUGGGUGGCGAGAUGGUCGUGACGACAGCGGCGGCAGGCUCUUGAAGGCCAGCAUCACUUCUUCGCUACAGCUAUUUGAUCACUUAAACAACAGGAGAUGCAGUGCACACAUAUACGUGCGUGCAUGCAUGCAUGGCUCAUAUAUCACGUAGGUGGCCUAGUGGAUGAUAUCUUGAAGUAGUCUUCACCAACUCUCCGGCCGUCCGGCGGCGCGACGGACUCGACUAGGCUUCAGUGGACAAACGCGAGCAGCUUCAUGGACUCGUGGUCUCCAGAUGUGAUUGCUUCAGUGAGUGCCGCGGCCAGUGUCAGGAGCUAGUCGGUCUCCAUGAAUGACCACUCCUAAAUAAAUCGUCUCUAGUACUGGUCCAUAACCCCCUUGGUAUCGUUGUGCAACCGGUACUAGCAAUCCGAUACUAGAGGAGGUCCUUUACUACCGGUUGUAAUAACCCGUACUAAAUAGUAUUAAAAAAUAAAAAAACAAAAUCCUCUCGCCAGCUCCAGCCGCCGCCGCCACCGGUCCCACCCUCCGCCCGCCGCUUGCCCCUGCCUCCUGCCGCCAUCGGCCCCGCCCUCCGCCCGCCACUUGCCCUGUCAGCCCCGGCCUCCCUCCGCCUCCUCCUCCUCCUCCCCCUCCUCCGCCUCCACCCCGCCUCCGCCUCCUCCGCCCCCGCCGCCGGCCUCCGCGCCCGCUCCUACCCACCCGCCGCCACUCCGCCGGCUGCUCCCCGACGCCACCUCACCUCGCCCCGCCGCUGCUCCUCACCGCCGGUGAGGGGCGCGCGGAGGGGGGGGGGAGGGGGGCAGAGGGUGGCACUGCGCCGUGCUGCUGCGAGAGGACAUGAAGUGUGGGGAGGAGAGGGGAGAGGAGAAGACGGGAGAGAGAGAUAGAGAAUGGGCGAACGGGGGCAGCAGGAUAAGAAUUAUUGCUGAGAGAGAUGGAGAGAGGAGGGAGGUAACCCUUUAGUACCGAUUGGUAGGAAUAUUAAAUUUGACCGGUACUGAGAUCAUGGACGAGAAGUCAUUUUUCUAGAAAUGGACGUUGAGCUGGUCCUCGUAGUGUACGCCGGCCGCUUCACGUACAACGCCCGCGACGAGGGUGCCGAAGUCGACCUCGGGUGCACGUACGGUGGACUCUGGCAUAGGGAGGUCCACGUCUCCGGCGACGUCUAGGCAGAGCCGCUAGGCCGCGGCACCGACGUGCUCGCCUUGUCUAGCCGGGCAGUCAUGGAGCUUGGAAGGGAUGAGUGAGAGCACCGCAGCGCACGUCGGACUUCUCUACAUCAUCUCCGGCAUGCAAGCCACACGGACGGACCAACCUCGUCGAUGCCUAUGUUUCCCUGUCCAUGCAUGAAACUGAAAAGGGAGAAAAGGAUUAAUGUAUAUAACCACCUGUGCCGGCCAUGGCCAUCUCCUCCACCCGGCAACGACUUCCUGCACUACCGAAACAGUAAGUUUGCCGAGUGCCCGAAGUACUCGGCGAAGACCUAAAAACACUCGGCAAACAGUUUGCCGAGUGUAACACUCGGCGAACAGGACUCGGCGAAGUUUCCCGAGUGUCGAACGUCGGGCACUCGGCAAAGGCUUUGCCGAGUGGCAAAAAAACACUGGGCAAUGAUUUUUUUGAAAAAAUAAAAAAACAAGCUAGCGCCACCGCCGGCCGCCGCCACCCUUGCCUCCCGUCGCCAAGCCACGAACCCCGCUGCCACCAGGCCAUCACUCUUGCCUCCCGCCGCCACGCCACGAAGCCUGCCGCCAUCCACCAACAGCGUCGCCGCCGCGCCACCAGCCCCCGACGCUACUGGAAGCCCACCGUCGACACCACUCGGAGCCGCCGCCGACAUCUCCCGAAGCUCCUGGAUGGCUCCGUGGCCCGUGCCGCUCCUAGCCCGCGUCGCCCCUGGCCCGCCCCAGAUUCGAAGGGGAGAGAGCUGGGGGCCGCUGGAUCCACGCCGGAGGGGAAGAAGGGGGCACGGAUCCGGCCGGAGGGGAGGGAGCCGGGGAAGGAGAGGGAGGGCGGCGGCGGGGGCUGGCGCCGGACGCCGGGAGGCUACGGGGGCCAGCGCCGGGCGGCGGCGGGGGCCGGCGCCGGGCGGUAGUGACAGGGAGAGAGGGAGGUGGGGGGCGGGUCGGGGUGGCAGAGCAAUGAAGAGGGGCCGGAUGCGGUGCUGGUCGGACUAUAAGUCCUGAGCGGUUGGGAAAAAAAAUCACCGAGUGUCCUAGGUGUGACACUCGGUGAAAGGUUUCUUUGCCGAGUGUCUAACCUAGGACACUCGGCAAAGCUAUUUUAAAUUUUUUUAAAAAAUUAUCCAACAGUUUCAAAAAAUUAUCAAAAAUUCACAUGAAAUAAUAUAUAUUCUUUACUGACUAUACAAAAAGUUUUAUAGUCAAAUCAAAACUCGACCGUAAUUUUGACUCGAAAUCUUAUCCAAUCCUUCUCAACGUUACUAUUCUUUUUCUGAAAUGCUUCGGUUUGUAAACAUCGUACGUGACGAAAUGUGCAAAAUAUUCUCAAUUUUUUUCCACAGCCUCCACGUAUGAUAUCAUCACAUCAUGACAAAUCUCAUGAUUUUCAGACUUUGCUUGUUUUUUUUACAAUUUAAAAAUACUACUGCCACACGUUCGUGGUCGUGUUUCCUGAACAAGAUGUUUGAAAUUUCUUUUCAUUUCACGGGUCAGGUCUCAAAUUGGGCCAAAUAACAUGAAUAUCAUUUUUCUACUCAUUUUAUUCUAUAAUUUGAAUCACUUGCGGUUCAAAUUUGACUUAUACCAAAAAUUUUCUUGAAAUGCAAUUAAUUAAAUAAAUAAAUAUAGCAAACAAAUUCAAAAAUAUACCAAAUUUUAACAUGGAGUACCACAUGUUGUAUGUGGGGAGUAGAAAAAUUUCAAGGUGGAAAGAGGAAAAAAAUUUAUUGUCUUGCCGAGUGUCAAAAAAACACUUGGCAAACCCCACUCUUUGCCGAGUGUUUUUUUUGACACUCGGCAAAGUCCAACGUUUGCAGAGUGUUUUUUUUUUGCCGAGUGUUCUUAGCCCGACACUCGGCAAAGAGCUUGUUUGCCGAGUGUCCGAAAAGAAACACUCGACAAAAAUAAAACACUCGGCAAAUUUAAGGUUUCCGAUAGUGCUGCCCACCUGGCGUCCCUCCUGCCCGUGGACGCGCACCAGCGUGAGGGGUCUUCUCUUCUUUCUUGGUUGCUUGUGUGUAUCUGGAUGAGCGAGAGAGAGAGAGAGAGGGAGAGGGAGAGAGUUUGUGAGGUGUGUGUGCGCAGCGAGAGGGCGAGAGCUGCCUCUUCUUGCCUGCGUCUGUCUGUGUCUCGUGUGUCCGCGUCUUGUCUCUUCCGUCAAGUGAAUGGAUCCCUCCUUUUAUAGGCCAGGGGAAGGCGUUUGGUAGCUAGGCAGGGACGCUGAGCGCGUACGUCUCGCGCCCAGGCGCCAACUAUCUUUUCUUGUAUACACGCACGUCCAGCACCGUCAGGCUAAUUGCCUGUUGCCUUGUGUGCUUCAUUUCUUUCUUUCUUUCUUUGCAUUUUUCUUAUAAUCUCUUUCCUGGACCAGAGAUCGAUCGUGAAUGAAACCUUCCAUUUACUCGUCGGACAGUCAUAUUUUGUUUCCAUCGACAGAGAGACCUAACCCUUGGUGAUUACGAUUAGAAAACCUUCCAUUUGACAAGAGGCGGCAUCGGUUAUUUAGGAAAGUUGAAGACGGUUCCGGGCGUGACCCCCUGCCGAGCGGGCCUUCGCGUUCAUCGUGAGGCCCAUCAAAGAAAAGGUACCAUAGCAAUAUCAGGUAGAAAGGAUACGUGUGUCCGUGUCCUCCACGUACACAGUACACUUAUACGUACAUGUAUGUGAUUAACCAUGCAACGUCACCUCUUUGAUUGUCCGGUGGAUCACUGUGUUUUGGCUUCAGCCAGUAAUAAAGAGACGAUGUCUCACACGUAUACACUGGCCGUGGAUACGUACUCCUGUUAGUCACGUGUGUGCCUGCUAGCAACCACCUUAUCUUAGCAAUUUAAAACACCAGGGUCUGGAUGCGUACAAAUUGCAUGGACACAGCCUGCUUGCACGUGGAUACGUAUCACUUUGCAUGCUAGUCCCUUUGUUACCGUGCUAACCAUUGUACAUACUGGUGACGUAAAAAACCCGUCAAACAGGACAAUAGUGCAAAUUUUCAAACUUUACCUGAAUAUGAAUUUUUUUUGGAAAAUUUGCUGACAUAGGGGGCCGGGCCACUGUCCGCCCCACUUAUAUUUUGGAAUGGAGAAAAUAUUAUUUAGGGGGGUUUGGGAACACCCUAUUAAAGUUUAACACCUAUCAUAUCGGAUGUUUAGAUGUUAAUUAGGAGUAUUAAACAUAGGCUAAUUACAAAAAUAAUUGCACAAAUGGAGUAUAAUUCGCGAGACGGAUCUAUUAAGCAAAAUUAGUCCAUGAUUUGAUAAUGUGGUGCUACAGUAACCAUUUGCUAAUGAUGGAUUAAUUAGGCUUAAUAGAUUUAUCUCGCGAAUUAGCACAGGGUUCUGCAAUUAGUUUUAUAAUUAGCUCAUGUUUAGUCCUCCUAAUUAGCAUCCGAACAUCCGAUGUGACACUGUUAAAGUUUAGUAUCUUGUAUCCAAAUACCCCCUAAUAUGCUGAUCAAUAUCAUGAACAUAAGUAUUUGUAUGAAAAUUGAGUUACGGAAAAAAGGACAGGGAGUUAAAGGACAUGUGAGUGUGGGAUGAUCCUAGAAAUGAUAGGUGUGGGUGAAGGGUGAUAGGGUAUAUAACGUUUGCAGCUGUGAAAGUUAUUGAUAUCGUAUCUUACCGCGGUAAACAAAAGAACCUUCAUCUUGGAACAAUUGUAACAAACGGAACAUUAUUGUAGCACUAGUUAAUAUACCUUUUUGCACUAAUCAUUUCUUUUUGUGAAAUUCCAUUGCUCUUUGACCUAACAUCAAUCAAACGUGUAAGAAAAUCAAAUGGCCUUGUUUUCUGUCCUACAUCACACAAUAGAUACUAGCUUAGAUGGUACAGUGUGUAGUUAGUUGUAUAGUUGGAUAUGCAAGUGACGGUGAGCAACCUGUGCUUUUAGCUUUCCCCGGUACUAACUGUGACAUUCUAGGCCAACUAAGGAUGAAUUGAAUCCACUAGAGGUUCAUGUGAAUGGCAUGGCAUGUGUGUAGAUAAUAGUCCCACCUUACUAGUUGAGGGUGGGUUUCAACAACAAGUGCCAAAUGUAUUCCAACCCCCGGGUUAACCAUUUUACGCGAAGUGAGGACGAAAGCGUAAGCGCGGUUAAUGCAAGUGCGUGUUUUACUCUACGUGCGAGUAGGACUAAGCCAUAUUUGGGACUGUGGCGUUACAAUUGGUAUCAGAGCUAACCCUCACGGUUACACAGGCGUGUGCGUGCUAGGGGCGCGAACAUAUGGCACAUGGCGUGUGUGGGUCCUGUGUGGUCACACGGCAUGGCAUAUUGUGACGGAUCCACCUCGAAUUAGCCUGAUUAAGGCACGGUCAAGUCGCCUAACAUGCGACACUCAUGCCUUAGUCAAGCUAACACGAAGUGCCGUCGGAUUUCAUCCGAUUUGACCACUUAACAGGACCAAAUUAGCAAACUCACCCGAAGGUGAGCGGUUGCAGAGAAUACAACAGGUCCACCAAAAGAUUAACAAGUUGAUACACACUUGGUUGCAAAUCAGAGUUUAACAAGUUCUGAAGAAAACAACAGAAGGUAAAACAAGCGGAAGCUAAAUGUAGGGGUCGGACGUCCUUGGUGAGGCCAACCAAGACAUCAGUGAUCCCCUUCCUCGCCAUCCGAGGAGGGAUCCCACUCGACCGUCCAACCCGGAGGGAGCUGGGGCGGCCAAGUGCCAACAGGAACAAGCUCAGGAGCGGCGACUUCACCUGAAAAGAAAGCCACAAACAAGGUUGAGCUGCUAAGCUCAACAAGACUUAACCGACCGGCGGUAAACUACUCCACCACUUCUAGAUAUGCAAGGCCCUUUGGCUGAGGGGCUUUGUUUGCCAAAAAUGACUACAGUGGGUCCUUGCUUUCAAGUUUUAGCUCAAGUUCUAAGUUCAUUAAUCAGUCUAUGUUGGCAACUUACUCUAAACAACCAUAGUUUUCCAACAACAAAGUAUAGAACAAGCAUCGGGUUCAUAGCAUCAUCAUGUUCCAUCUCUUUACUCAGUGUAGUAUAGCGAUCAAGCAGUCUCAAACUGAGAGAGGCAGACGAAUCGAUUCGAGUUUCUUAACCAUGCAUGGCGAACCUAAUCUCACGACAUCUGCGCACCACAAAGGUCGCUUCCUGUGUCGACCGUCCCCAUCAAUUCCCAGGCACAUGUCAGGUCCAAAUUUCCCUUGGCAUGCAAUGCUCCACAGUCCCGGUCUCUACCGUACUGUGACCGCACUUGCACCCACAUGAUGCACCAUGGGAACCUCGUUCCAGGGACAGCAGGGGUAUAAGCCACGCCCUAGUUCAAUCAGGUACUAGGCUUCCCCAUCCCAUACUAGGUAUGAGAUUAGUACUUUCAAACACUUGAUCACGAACAUCAACACUUUUCGACCUUAGCAACUUCAUAUAGACAGAUAGGGCAAUCCACCGACCACCAAAAGAGUUCACCAGACCCUGCCCCGUCCAUCGUCCUUAUAGUUGAAACCAGAAGGAGAACAACGAACUCCUACAACUCGCGAGUGAUAGGAAAUCACUCGACUUUUACCGAGUCCUAUUAAGCAAUGCAACUACUCGGAUUUCUCAGACUAGUGUUCAGAUCAAGGGAACUAAGUCAUGCAUCUAUGGUUUCAAACAACUCCUGUACUUAAAUGCACAUACAAACAAGGAAGGCAUGUGUAAGUUUAGAGACAAAAAGGUUUCAUGCUCCGGGGCUUGCCUUCAAGCGGAGGGGAGGAGAACUGGUCUUCAGAGGGCAAAGCUACAGCUCCUGCGGUCGGCGGCUCAGCUACUGCUCCGUCUUCUGGCACCGGAUGCAGCUCGUAGAUGCCGUCGGCGAGAUUCAACUCUACACGAAUGCAAAUGCAGGAGUUAGCACUUAGACGGUUAUUUCAACAGCAACACUUGCAAGUUUUAGCCCAGAAACUUGUAGCAAAGCUACGGAAAAAGUGGAGAAGUUCACUUGAGUUGGUGGAGAGCAAGGUAAAAGGGUCGGAUGGGAAGAAACUUAUGAUCUGACCCUUAGACUAAAGAAUAGCUGUGCUGGGGGUCCUCAGACUUAACGCAGAGAAGUCCCCGAUUUUUACACAUAUACCCUCGGGUCAAGGAAAAAGAUACAGCCGAGUCCUCGGGCGAGGUGGAAAAGGGUCGACGAAACAGACAGGGUUGGGCGAGACGGAAAAGGGGUCAGACAAACAGAGGGGGUCGGGCGAGACGGAAAAGGGGUCGGACGAACCGAGAGGGUCGGGCGAGACGGAAAAGGGGUCGGACGAACAGAGGGGGUCGGGCGAGACAGAAAAGGGGUCGGCAGCUUACCUUCGGUUUACAGGUGAAGCUUUGGGAUCAGGAAGGCGCGAACUUGGGCAGCGGCGAUGUCCGGCGGUACUCCGGCGGCGGCGGUGCUUCUUAUGGACAACAAGCAAGCUCUAGCACAGCGCGGAGGAGUAAGCGGCUAGGUGGAUUGGGAAAGGCGGGUGUUGAUCGGAGAGGAGCGUUCCUCAGGAACUUAGGUGGCAAUGCUCGAGCACGAAACAAAGGAACAAGGUGGUAAGGCAGUGAUGGCGAAGGGAACUCUGGUAGGGCUCGGGCGUUCCCUUUUAUAGCUGCGCGGGAAGAGAGAGAGCUGGAGCAACACGAAGACCAGGAAGGAACAUAAUGGAGUGCGCUGCCAUGGCGGCGAUUGAGCAGCGUUGGGCGGUGGAACAGGACUUCGGAGAUGAUGCCUUCGGCCAUUGGGCAUUGGAGUCAGGGUGGCGCAGGCGCGGUUUUGCCGGUGGUUGCGGUUUGGCGGAGGCGGGCAUCGUCGUGCGGCGGAUCUGAUGGGUGUGACAGGGGAAACGGUGCUAUAAGCGAGGUUGCAACCGGUGAAAAGACAGGCGGGCGGCGGCUGCGCGGGCGAGCACGAAACAGCGGUCUGUCGUGGCACAGUUCUGACAAGGCGAAAAAAGGAGCUGUCGCGGCCGGGGUCGGUAUUGGCGAUGGAGGAAUCGUCGCGUAGCGCAGUCCGGGGUGGCGCGACUGUGGAGAGGCGGCGGAAAAACCGGAAGGCAUCGGGCCUUGUAGCUGGGGGUCCGGCGCGGUGAUGAUGGGCGUGAGCCGCAAGGGCGCGAGCGAGACGGGGCGCUGCAGAAAGGUUGCAGAGGGGCUUCCGCUGCGAUUGGGGAGGAAGGCGCGGGAAUCCAUCCGGUCGUGGCCGGCGACUGGGCGGAGCGGCGGAGGUCGGAGGAGUUGAGCCACACGGCGGAGAAGCUCUGAAGCGGGUAUGCCACUCGAGUGCGUCUGCACCAGAAGAUCGGGGAAAAGAUUUGCGGAUUGAAAGGAGACACUGUGGGUGUGACUUUGAAGGAUCUGGCGGGGUGGGUUGGGGGGUCUUCAGGGGUCGGAGCUGGGAACCGGCGGAAAGGGGUUGGGUUCUCAGGGGUCGGGACCGGAACUGGAGGUUGAGCACUUAAGCUCGGGGAAGCUGAGUCAGCGGAUUAGGGACUCGGAUUAGAUUAACUCGAAAGAUUUGGGAUCGGUCGUCACACAUAUGUGCCGGCACUAGAUGCAUGGACGUGUGCUAAGAGGUAAAGUUCCUGGUCAAUUUCCCCAGUGUGUGCGGGUAUGUUGCUGACGAGGACGUCGGGUCCUUUAGGCCAACUAAGGAUGAAUUGAGCCCAUUAGAGGCCCAUGUGAGAUGCAUAGCAUGUGUGUGGAUAAUAGUCCCCCUUGCUAGUUGAGGGUGGGUUUCACCAACAUAUAAACCCAAGUGCCAAAUACAUUCCAAUCCCCGAGUUAACCCUUUUACGCGAAGCGAGGAUAAAAGUGUAAGCGGGGUUGAUGCACAUGCGUGUUUUACUCUGCGUGCGAGUAGGAGUGAGCCAUAUUUGGGACUAGGGCGUUAUAAUUUGAUUGUCAUGACCCAAAGUUGCAAAACAAGUUUAACAUGUUAACAUGAGCAUCAUUUGUGCAUAAUUAAGCAUCAUGGCCAUGCAUUUGUUUAAGUUCAAAUAAUAAUUGUUUAUUGUUGAAAUUUAAACUUGUGAAGCAACUCAAGUUUAUGCUGUGCAACUGUGCAUCUUGUUAUUUUAUUUAAAUACUAGAUGCAAUUUGAUGAUUUUACAAUAUUUUUACUUAAUUUUUCAGUGAUGUUUUCCCAUGUUAAAAAUUUGUUUAAUUUUCAAUUUUGGCUAUUUUCUUUUGUCAAUUGUAUGACAACUUGAGUAGUUUUUGAGGUGAUUCUUAUGGAAUUGUGUUCUUUUCAAUUUUAUCUUUCAAAUGAGUAUUUUUGGAGAUUUUUGGGGUGCCUGUAGCUGGGUCGUUUGAGUGGGGAAUGUUAAACGGUUUGAAAAUCGGUCGGGCCCACGUGUCACCGCCUCCUUCCUCUUCUCCCGUGCCUGCACACCUGCCCGUUGGCCAGCGCCGGUGGUGCCUACCGCACUGCCAUGGCCGGACUGGCCACCGUGGCCAAGGCCACGUGAAAUCCCAGCCGUACCCUCGCCCUGCUCCUCCUUUAUAUGCCGGCGUCGGCGCUUCCCCAAAACCUACCCCCCUCCUCCACCAUUGCCACCGCCACUUCUCUGACCCGAGCUCGACUGUUGGCCAAGAAAAUUCUAGUGCCCCCUCCACCUCCACCCAAGAGCCGUGACCCACUUCAUGCUCGUCAUCCUCGGCCGGUCAUCCCUCCAGUUCCGGCCACUAGUCGCCGGGGAUUUGAAAUCCCGCAACCGCCCGAGCUCCAACUCCACCGCAACCACCUCACCGUCACCGGUCCGAUUCACAGCCGUGGGUAGGUAUCCGACCGAUUCCUCAUGGCCAAGGCUUCGUCAAGACAUCCCGCAUCCAUUUUGCCGCUCAUCGGCCGCUCUCCCUCGCCGUGCAGUGCUCCCGGUGUCGCUCCCCAUCAGCGCCCGUCCACCCCUAUCCGCCGCCUGCCGCCGCCUCUAGAGCCUACUGUGCCACCUCCUGCUCGCCGCUGGGCUGCCGCCAGUAAACACCGCUACAAGAGGGAAAAGCAGCCUAUGCUGCCCGUGCCUGUCUGUGUGUGCGCGUGAGGAUGUGUUGUGGGAAGAAGAAAGAAGGAGAGGGGGGUAUGGAGAAGUUUCAGGGACUUAUGUGCGAGAAUCAAUAGAUCCGAGGGUUUGAUUUGCAAGAUGACAUCACUUUUGUUUUGUUUCCUCGAUUUAAAUAGCUGCAAACUUGAAACAUGCAUAGAAAUAUGCAGAAAAAUGGUAAAACUAUGGAACUUGUUUUGUUGAGUUCCUGAUGAUAUCUAGUUCAUUUCAAAAAUGAUUAUGUGCAUGUUCCUGUUGUGUACCUGGUGCUAUGAUUUAAUUUGUCUAAAGAGUUGUUAAAUGCUUUGUACAUCAUGUGGUGGUCCAAAAAUUGUGAAACAAAUUUUUUUAGCUUCCAUUUAUCAUGUAUGUUCCAGAUCUGCAACUUGUAUUAGUGGAAUCUAUGGUUUUCAUGCUGUUUUAAAUCUAAUGCUUGUUUGCUUUCUUAAUAUUGUUAUUUGCGUGAUAAUUUGUGAAAAAUUGAUAAAGUGUUGAAACCACUUUUGUCAGCCUUUUAUUUCCACAUAGAAUGCAGGAAAAGUGAUGCUGAUGCUUUUCUGGUUGUUUUACAAGCCUUCUAGGAUUUAAUGUGCUUAAUGGUAAUUUGUCUUGUUUAUUUUAUAUCUCCACAUUAAAAUUUGAUUUUGAUGUGAAUCGAAUUCUCAUGAUUUUGUAUUGUUGUCUUCUGUCAGUGCAAUUUAUUUCAUAAUUAUUUCUCAACAAAUGAUCCUAAUCUUGCAAUUUCAUGCUUGCUUUUGGCUUAUCGUGCAAAAUAGUUUCUCUCAUCGUUCUUGUAUGAUUUUGUAUUAUUUGUAGCUAGAUUGUUCUGUUAACAAUUUAUUUCUUACUAUUUCUUUUAUUUUUUCAUGUAUUUCAUGAGCAUUUGCACUCAUAGCAUCAUCUCUAUUGCAUGCAUGCAUUUCAUUCUUUUUAGAGAGCGAUUUGCUGGAGAACGUGACCUUUGAGCCCGAAGCCGAGGCCGAAGUAGAGGUUGAGGUUGAGCCCGAGGAAAAUCAAGGCAAGCAGCUAAGCAUAUUUGUCUCCUUCUUUUUGAAAUGAAAUUGUUACUAUGUAUCGCUAUGGGUUGCAUGUGGGUUAUCUUAUUGCAUUAUUAGAACCUAUAUCUUUAUUAUUAUGGUCUCCCUUGCUUGUUAUCAUAUCCCUUGUCGCUCGAGUAGUAUGGGUUAUAAUAAAUUAAUCUUGUAAUUUUUUAGCCAUGCUUAGUCAUAGAAGGAUCACUUGGUAAGGGAAUGGUUAUAGGUUUAUCAACUCUGAUUCUAAUAUGGUUCUUUAAUGUUGUUGAAUAAAUGAACAUGAUGGUUAAUUGGAUACGAGAUUUGAGCGGUGUGUAGAGUCACGAGAAUGGAGUCUCGGUGACAUAUACCGCUUGAGUCGAUUAAGGACCGUCCGUUGUUGAUGUUGGUUUGAGCACCCUUUUUCAUGCUACCACAUGUUCCCGAAUGGACGAAUAAGCCUAAUAUCUUACUUGACUCGCUCUAAUAUGCACGAUCCUAGAUGUGUGGUCCUUGGACUAUGUAGAGGAGCCUAGUAGUAUCCCCGGUGGACCUAGGUCGUCCUCCACACAAGUUAGGCGUGUUUUACUCAUACUUUGGGGUGGUUUGGAAAGGGUUGGCAUGAGUACCCCCUUGUGCACCAUUGAUCGGGUGUGCGAGCCGCAAGGUCCUCGAGUCGUGUGGGUAAAGAGUACAUCCUUGCAAGGUUAAAUCAAUUGGAAUUGCCACGCUCUCGGUUAUGAGCAAGCUCAAGUCCCAUGAAUUCAUCAUAGAGUCAUCGGAUGCUUUUAAUAUUUGUUCAUAUAUUUAUACUCUAUGUUACCAUGUUGAUGUAAUUGUUUUCAACUAAAUUUUAAAGUGGGUUUGGGAAAGAUUAAUAAAACUUGCUAGCUGUCCAUAGGGUGUUAUUCACAUGCUUAAGGUCAAAAAUUAAGGAUAGGAUAAGUUAGACUUUUGUCCAUAGGGUGUUAUUCACAUGCUUAAGGUCAAAAAUUAAGGAUAGGAUAAGUUAGGCUUUUAUCCAUAGGGUGUUAUUCACGUGCUUAAGGUCAAAAAUUAAGGAUAGGAUAAGUUAGGCUUUUGCAAAUUUACUUAACAUUAAAGCCUUACUUCUUGUUCACCCUUAUGCAUGAUCCUUGUUAUAUAUUUGCGUAAGACUUGCGAGUAUCUUUUUGUACCCAUGUUGCUAUCGUUCACUGAAGUUGCAGGUGAACCGAAGGCCGUGUUUGGUCACUUUUAACCUGCCGAUCCGAAGGUGGGUGAUGAGUGACUAGAACGGUCGUUUGUUGCUUCGAUGGUGUUCUUGGGCAACUACACCAUCAUGUCUUUUGCGUUUAUCUAUCGUAUCCGCUGCGUAGAUGUGCUCUUUUCAUGGGUUUGAUGUUGGAAAAACUUAAACCUUAAUGUUUAAUCUCAUGUUGUUGUUGUCGUGAGUCCAAGACUUGUAAUUUGGAGCUCAUUUAAUUAAAUUUCAGAUUUUAAUUGUUGAACUUGUGUAAGGUUUAAAAUUGUUCUUUUAUGGUUCAUGUGGUGUUGUGCAAUUUGUACGGUUGGUGUUGCUCGAUCUUGGGCAUGUUGUGAAACACCUACCGGGACUACCGGAUUUGUCUCUUGUUAUGUUGAAUUACACCGAGUCUUGGAUCUCUAGGUGUGGGUUGCCACUUGACACAUCGCAAGACGAGUAAGUGUGGGCUCUUAUCCUAUUCGCAUGACCGCCAAUUCACUUAAUUCGAGAUCAAAUUGGCCGGUUCUCACACUAACCCUAAAAGUUGAAUCUACCUGGGACAUGAAUUGAAUUCUAGAAACAAAUAAAUAUUCCUGGAAUGUAUCUGACGUAGAAACAUAUACAAUGAGAAACAUCUUGAAAAUUCCAACUCCAUAAAGUCUUGUUCGGAUACUAGUGGAUUGAAGUAUAAUGGGAAGGAUUGGAGAGGAAAUUAGUUCAUUUUAGACGACUCAGUCCCCUUUAUUCCCUUCCAAUCCUUUUCUAUCCAAUAAUGUGGAAGAAUAGGUGUAUUGAAGUCUAGAGGUAAAAGCCUCUCCCCUGUUUGAAAAUACUCAUCCCUGGUAUGCGACAAACAUGGGCCACAUAAUCACCGCUUCAACAAUUUAUAGCUUAUACCAUGUAGUAAUAAUUACAUAAUGCACGUAGUUGUGACAGCGACAUAGUACCCCCGAAUAUUUGCUUAGAUCUGCAGCAUUGAUAAUAUUCGAAAAGUCACAUAUCAAUAUAGUCAACUCAAGUGUGCCACGUUUGAAAUCGUCAAUUGCAUCACAUGGGCAACAGGGGGAAAUGAAACUACUAUACUUUUCUGAAGUCAUGUCAUCCUCAUAGAGUCUUGGACAUAACAGGAAACAACAACCAAUAAGCUCCGCAACUUCGAACCAUCAUUUUUUGGUUUGUUUUUUCAGAACUAUUUGUGUGCGUGAUGUGGAUGCAGCUUUUUAAUAAGGAUCCCUUAGGUGGAGUUUCACCCGGCUCCAGCUCCACCACUGUAGCGCGUGCUAUUGUAGCGUCAGUGAAGCCGGAGCCAGUGAAGCCAAAAAAUUGUGACUUCAGCUAUUUCUUAGUUUGUUUUAGUAAGAGAGAGAAGAAGGGCUCCGAUGAAAAAUAGCGUUAUAGUAUCGCAAAUAGUGCUUAAGUUAGAGAAGCCGGAGCACCCCAGAGCUCCACCAAAAGAACCUCUUAAGUAUUUGUUGAAAGCAUUUCAUAUUGUAGCGGUUGGGAUUUUAUUUAUUACAUCAUCCAAAAAAGUAAGCUCUGCAACCUGUAGACCGUUUAUGAUGCUCAAUUGCGACCACGAAGGAAGGUCAGUGUUAGAGUUUGUAUUAGGUACAUCCAAAUAUAUCUAGUUUAGGAUUAAUCCCGUGAUAAUCUAUUAUCAUUAGGAGAUAUUACUCGACCUCUAAGACAGGAAUUUUAUAUUAAAACCCCACUACCGGAAACACGACGUUUGCCGAGUGCCCCAGGCACUCGACGAAGGCCCAAAAACACUCGGCAAAGAGUUUGCCGAGUGCAACACUCGGCGAACCGGACUCGGCGAACUUUCCCUUGGCAAACAGUGGAUUUGCCGAGUGUCAAACGUCGGGCACUCGGCAAACGCUUUGCCGAGUGCCAAAAAACACUCGGCAAAACCAAACACUCAGCAAAAAGGCGUUGACGGACUGUCACGGUAACGGCGCCUUUGCCGAGUGCCAGACGGAAGAACACUCGGCAAAUGUUGACGUUUUGCCGAGUGCCUCCGUCCCGACACUCGGCGAAGAGUCUAAAUUUUGCCGAGUGCCGUCUCACAGACACUCGGCGAAGAUUCAAAUUUUACUGAGUGUCGUGCCCAUGACACUUGGCGAACUUUUGGUGUUUGCUGAGUGUCAGUUUCGUGGCACUCGGUGAACUUUUGGUGUUUGCCGAGUGUUGGUUUCGUGGCACUCGGCAAAGAGGAUGCUUCCGCCAGAUUUUUAUGAUGCCUUUACCAAGUGUUGUGUCGAAACACUCGACAAAGUAGUCUCAGAAUAACAAAAACUGGCCCGUAAAACACUCGGCAAAAUGUCCUUCCACCGCUUGUAAAACAGAUUCGUUACGUAUAAAGGACCUCUCAAAAAACAAUCACAGAAGCAUCACAUGCAUAUAAAUUGCAUCACAGGCGUAUAGAUUGCAUCACAAGCAUCAUAAGAACACAAAAUAAUAUUCAGAAGUACAUAUAGGUUCUAGUCUAAACAAGUAAUUCACAAGUUUGCUUAACACAAUAGUCAUUCAAACAAGUCACUGAGGAGGAUGUGUAGGUGGCCACUGCCCCCAAGAUGAUUCUGCAUUGGAUGCCGCCGAUUGAUUCUGCACAAAGUUAAAGAGAUUGCAUUAGUCACUUUUCUAGUGUAAGUUUCUAGUGCCUGUAGUUUCUAGUUUAAUUCUACAUUGAUUGUAAGGUUGAGAGUGACUCACAGGAGUAGCUGCAGGAGGUGGAGGUGGCGGGAAUAGGUUCGGUGGCAUAGGUGGUGGAGAUUGACCUAAACUCUGAAAAAUACUCUGCAUGUAAUGGAACAUCGACUCCGUCCUUUGCCUUUCUAUCUGUCGAUCCGCCUCGAUCCUCGCCUCUAAGUCCUCCCGUUGCUUCCGUUCUACUUCCACCUGGGCCUACAAUAUUUCAUCCCAAUGUCUUAUUGCAAAGCAAAAGGUACAUAAAAAUCAACGAACGAUGAAACAAAUAGAAAUAACCUGUAGAGCCUACAUCUGUAACUGUGCAGUGGUCGGUCAUGCCCGUAUCGCGGGGCUAGAGUCCGUGCUCCUUGCUCGGAUUUGGGAGAGACUGGGAGUACUGGCAGUGUCAAUCACGCUAUUUCCAAUCCAAUACCGGCCAUGCUUCUUGUCUCCUCCUACCCUCAUCACAAUUUCUGCAUCAAUAUCCUGAGAGCUCGGAUCGAACUCUGCCCAUGAACCUCCCUUGCCAUUGAUGUGUACUCGGUGACGCGACUGUGGAUGCUAGGAUGGCUGUACGCCUCGGGUGGGUCCUCCGGGUUGAAGUCGAUGUCGGCCGUCGCCUUGCCCUUUUUGGACAUAACCCAUGCCUUGAACCGGGAGCAUUCCUGGCUAUCAUGUGAUGACGUCUGCAGCAAAAAUGCAAAAGGAUUAGAAAGUAUGCAGUAUUGAGUGUGAGAAUAAAGAAAUAAAUUCGCGUAUCCAUUUUUCCUUGUAUUCAUCAAGGCUCAGGCUGCCUUGAUGGUGUGAUGCAUAUGGCAUCUGCAGACGCCACUCCCGGCAAGCAAGGUGGUUCUCCAACUACCCGGGCUGCAACCACACCUCCACCAUUUGUUCCCAGCACCGGAUAGUGCUCGGCACCACCACGGAGGCACCUACAUCAUCAAGUGUGUGACAUAUAACAAAAGAAAUUAAGCAUAAUUAAUCUUAGAAAUAGUGAAUAUUAACUUUCUGUACGUACCGCCAUGAAUUCUUCCUUGGUCAGGUUCAUUGUCCUUGCCUCUUCUUUUUUUGACCUUCAUCCUUCUGAAUUCAGUAUAGAAGUCGAUGAUGGCCUGAACCCGCGCCUCGUAGUGCAUGUCCUUGACGAGCUUCUUGGCAGCUUGUUCAGUGACGGAGGCCACCCUAGCCUCGAAUCCCUCCUGGCAUCUAUAGAAGUCCUGCGUAUAGACACGUUGCAUACAAUUAUUAUUUCAAGAAUGUCUAGCGAAGCUGAUGUAUUAACCAAUGUAGUGCUGCGAAUACUUACCCACAGCUCGGCCUUCACCCGCUCCACCUUGUUCGCGAAUGUCCUGUGGUCACGAUCAUCGACGUCGGCGGCAGCGAUGUAGUGGUCCCACGUGUAGGCUAGCUCCUCCUGUCCGGCGAAGACCACUAGACCAGGGAAGUGUAGCCUACACAAAAGACCAAGGAUGCCGUUGACCUUUCGGUUGUGGCCACCCCCACUGAGCUUAAUCCAACUCCUGCACAAGUAAUUAAUAUAAAUUAUUAGUUUCUAUUGUAAUUUUCAACAUAUCAAAAGUACUGAGAAUAUGUAAAGGAACUUACUUUGCCCCAGUGGGUUGAAUCAGUGGGCAUCUAUGAAGAGGGAUCGGUCACCUCGGGAGGGAUGAGGGACCUCGCAACCAGAUCUUGGACUGCGAAUCCCCUACCUCCUCCCCUUCCUCCCUCUCCUGCUCCUGCUCCUACUCUUCCUGUACCUCCGCCUCGUCACUAGAGGUGUGCGCAAAGGUAUCUCCUCCUCCUCAGACGACCGGACCCCUUUACCCUUUCCUCGACCCCUGCCUCUACCCAGGACAUGUGCCUCCUCUGUUUCCUUGACCAGUGCGUCACCCCUUCCUCCACCCCUGCAUCGACGCCUCCCUCGACCCCUCGAUGCGUCUGACCUUGAAGCUAACCCUGAAGCUGCAGCUUUUAAUUUUUCAUAAAGCGCUGCGAUCUUCCUCGUACCGCCCACCAUUGUUCAAUCACCUGCAAUUACAAAGAGUAAACCAAUCAGCACAGAUAAAACAAAACAUACUUAGGAAGAUAUGCAAAAUAACUAAACAUACUUAAAAAUAACAUGGUAUGACAAAUAAUAAAUAAAUUAGUACGGUCCAUACAUGUAUUAGAAAUAAUCGUCAUGAUCGGAUUGAAGAAGCCAGGAGAAAAGAUCUUCUCCAACUUACAGAGCAACACAGGCGCCAUUCUUUCCAUUUCUGUAACCACGGUCUGAGAUAACUCCUUAGCACAAAGUUGGCGGAAGAAAUUGCUCAACUCCACUAGCAUCUGCCAGACAUGCUCAGGGACAUAGCCUCGAACCAUCACUGGAAGUAGGCGCUCAAGCCAUAUGUGGUAAUCAUGACUUUUGAGCCCGUUGAUUCGCAUAGUAGCUAAGUUCACUCCCCUCUUCAGAUUCACCGCAUACCCAUUAAGCAACAUUAAUGUUUGGAACCAUUCUAAUACCUCCCUCCUUUGGGCCCUCGUCAGGAUGAAAUCGGCCUUAGGCUUUCUCCACGACUUACUAGCUCUGGGAGGCGCCAUGUCUAGCUUUGGUCUGUUGCAUAACCUUGCUUGAUCCACUCUAGCCUUAACGUUAUCCUUUGUGUUUUUAGGAAUAUCCAUGAUUGUACCAAAAAUUGCCUCGGCGAUAUUCUUUUCAGUGUGCAUAACAUCAAUGUUAUGUGGGAGAAGAAGGUCAUCAAAAUAGGGGAGGUUCCACAAGCACGACUUCUGAGUCCAAGCAUGUUGCUUGCCAUAUCCCACAAAACCACCUUCAUGAUUAUUGACCUCAAGAGCGUUUAACUGAGCACGAACCGCGGCUAAGGUCAUCAUCUGCGUUGUGGGGUCGUUAACUACGACAUCUUUCUAAAGUUUUUAAUAUCUCGUCUGAAAGGAUGGUCAGGAGGAAGGAAUUGUCGAUGUUUCUCGAAUGAAGAAUACUUGCCACCCUUCGUCAACCAAAUGAACUUUAAAGAAUCCUUGCAUACUAGGCAUGAGAACUUCCCGUGAACACACCAGCCACAGAAAAUACCAUAUGCCGGCAAGUCAUGCAGGGAGUACUGGUACCAAACAUGCAUCUUGAAGUUUGUCCUUAUAGCUCGGUCGUAUGUCCAUACCCCUUCCUCCCAUGCACGGACCAAAUCAUCAAUCAGAGGCUCCAUGUACACACUCAUAUUAUUCCCCGGGUGUUCUAAAAUUAUCAACGAUAAAAAUAUGAUCUGUCAUUGAAAGAGGACACCAGGGAGGAGAUUGAGGGGGAUAAUGAACAUAGGCCAACAGGUGUAUGGGGCAGCUGUCAUUCCAUAAGGAUUGAACCCAUCUGUUGCCAGCACAACACGUACAUUACGAGCCUCUAGAGCUUUCUCAUGAUAAAUCGCAUCAAACUUUGUCCAGGCUUCACCAUCGAAUGGGUGUACUAGCUUCUCAGUAUUGUAUCGACAUCCGUUUUUGUGCCAUGUCAUCUGUUUCGCGGAUUCUUCACUCAUGUAAAGCUGUUGGAUCCUUGGUAUGAAGGGAAGGUACCGUAGGAUCUUCACAGGGAUUGCAAACUGCUUCUUCUGACCGUCACCAGAGUCUACCUCCAGGAACCUAGACGAUUUGCACUUUACACAGUACUUUGCUUCUGCAUACUCUUUCCUAAAUAAGAUGCAUCCCUUCGGGCAAGCAUGUAUCUGCUCGUAUGGCAUCUUAAGUGCACAAAGAAGUUUUUGUGCCUCAUACAUGUUCUUUGGCAAGAUGUGACCCUCUGGGAGCAGGCUCCCAAAAACUGUCAACAUAAUAUCGAAGGCGUCUCGACUCAAGCUAAACUGGGACUUCACGGCCAUUAGACGUGCAAUGGCAUCCAGUUGAGAAACCUUGGUAUGCCCGUGAAGGGGUUGCUGUGCCGCAGAUAACAUGUCGUAAUAUGCCUUUGCAGUAGCCUCUGGCUCCUCCUCCCUACGUGCUUCAUGAUAGUCAUCUAACAUGUCUCCCACCCUGGCAUCAUCAUCAUAUUCCUCGAUGCGUUGUCUGACGACCUUGUCUCUCCCACGAUCGACUUCACCAUGGUAGAUCCACCUGGUAUAGUCUGACAUAAAUCCGUGCCUAACAAGAAGUUUACCCAUGUCUAGCUUGGUUUGCCGACGCAUGUUUCCACAUUUACUACACGGACACCAAGUAUCUCUUCCUCCUUUGAUCCUUGCAAAUGCCCGUUCCAAGAAAGCAUCGGUCUUGUUAAUCCAUUCAUCGGUCAACGAAUUCUGACUAGAGUGGCCCGUGUACAUCCACUGACGAUCCUCCAUCCUCUAGCAUAUCAGCGAGUAAUAUAAAAAAUCACGUUGCAUCUACACGUUCCUAUACUGUCUAUUAGGUGAAGAUAGGUCCUAAUCCCACCCGAGGAUGUGUAGGUGGGUUUAGUUUCCAUGGUCUACUCCGACCCGAGAUAGAAUUUCGGCAGCACCUCCCCGCUGUUCUCCAAAUACACAUUGUUCCAAUUCUCUCCACUCCACAGCUAUCGUACGNNNNNNNNNNNNNNNNNNNNNNNNNNNNNNNNNNNNNNNNNNNNNNNNNNNNNNNNNNNNNNNNNNNNNNNNNNNNNNNNNNNNNNNNNNNNNNNNNNNNCCUACACAUCCUGGGGCUGUCCAAAAAACGUGGACAAUUUGAAACAAAUACGGUUAUAAAUAUGCAAACAUCUGCAUAUUUCCAACCGUAUCUCUUUCGAACGGGAGACGCCUAACUAGGUUACGUGAUAUACAAACAUCAUACGGAAAGAGAGGUGUAGGAUGCCUCACCUUGCUAUCGUACAAGGUGACGACUCGAGGAUGGUAACGUAGCCUCUCCUGCAAAAAAAAGAACAUACAACUGUCAAGUUAAAUUUUCGACAGCACCUCCCCUGCACGUGGAGGUUUCCAUAACCUGCAUCAAAUAAAAAGGCACGAUGGCCGACAACCACAACUACAACAACGGAAUGGCACGAUGGCCGACUUCCACAUACAGUUCUUAUACCUUAGAUUGCCAAGUCAAACAUCAUUUUCUAAUUUCUAAAACAAAAGCCCUACCACCUCUCUAUCUUACCCUUCCAUAAUUACUAAUUACUUUUGUAAUUUCUAAUUUCUAUUUCAUCCUACCACCUCUCUACCCUUUUCUAAUUUCUAAUUCCANNNNNNNNNNNNNNNNNNNNNNNNNNNNNNNNNNNNNNNNNNNNNNNNNNNNNNNNNNNNNNNNNNNNNNNNNNNNNNNNNNNNNNNNNNNNNNNNNNNNNNNNNNNNNNNNNNNNNNNNNNNNNNNNNNNNNNNNNNNNNNNNNNNNNNNNNNNNNNNNNNNNNNNNNNNNNNNNNNNNNNNNNNNNNNNNNNNNNNNNNNNNNNNNNNNNNNNNNNNNNNNNNNNNNNNNNNNNNNNNNNNNNNNNNNNNNNNNNNNNNNNNGAGGGCGGCAGGCGGCGGGCGGGGGGGCCGGCGGGUGGGGCGCUGGGCGGCGACGACGGAGGGCGUCGGUGGCAGCAGAAAUUUGUUUUGGCGCCUGAGUGUUCGAGUCAAAAGGCCGCGGGACUUAAGUCAGAUUGUUUGCCAAGUGCCCGCGAUCUGGCACUCAGCAAAGCCAGAAGGUUUGCCGAGUGCUAGGUAUCGGGCACUCAGCAAAGUGAAGUUUUAAUUUUUUAAAAAAAAUUCAAUCGAAACACGCGCCUGUCAGGUGGAUUGCCGAGUGCUAGAUCGCGGGGACUCGGCAAAGUUAAGUUUUAAUUUUUUUUAAAAAAAUUUCAAUCAGAACACACGCCUGCUAGUGGACCCGUGUACCUACUUUGCCGAGUAUGUAGCGAAAACACAUGGCAAAACAUUACCUUUACCGAGUGUUUUCACUAGACACUCGGCAAAGUCUAUUGUACAGUUCUUCAAUAACGUGUUUUACUGACCUUUUCUAAUAUACUUGGAAAAAACCGUGUCAAAUUCACUCAGCAAUGGUUAUAUGAUUUUUCUACUGAUAUUAUUUCAUUAUUUCAUACAGUUAUAGCUCAAAUUGAAUUUAUAUCUUUUAAAAAUCUAUAAUUGCAUUUAAUCAAUAAAAAAUGUCAAACGGAUCCGAAAAAUUUCCAAAAUUUGACACUAACCAAUCUAUGUUGUAUGUUGCCUAUACAAAAAGCUUUGAAGUCAAACCCCAAUUCAAGUGUCACUUAGACUCCAAAUUUUAUUGGAUCCUUUCUAACUUCUACGAAUCCUUUCGGGAGAUGAGUCGGUUUGUAAGCAUCAUACGUCAGAAAUUGGGCGAAACCUUCUCAAUUUUUUACCACAGCCUCCACAUAUAAUAUCAUGAUAUCUUGACGAAUCUUGUGAUUUUCAGACUUCAAUUGCUUUUUUUAGAAUUUAACAACCAUUCAACCACACGUUCGUGGUCGUGUUUUCUAGAAAAAAUGUUCAAAAUUUCUUUUCAUUUCCUAGUUGAGACCUCAAUCCAGAUUCAAUAAUAUGAAUAUGAUUUUUUCACUGAUUUUAAUCCAUUAUUUCUAUCACUUGCAGUUAAAAUUUAACUUAAGUAAACAAAUUCCUAUUAAUGCCAUCAAUUCAUUAAAAAUAGCCACAGACCAAAAAGUAGACCAAUUUUUAAGAUGGAUUACCAAAUGUCGUAUGUGGGAAGUAGAAAAAGUGUGGAGGGCAGAGGUGGAAAAAAAAGUUUUGCCUUUGCCGAGUGCCUACAAAAACACUCGGCGAACUUCUUAGUUUACCGAGUGUCUGGACGGAGCACUCGGCAACCUACUUCUUUGCCGAGUGUCCGCGUCGGACACUCGGCAAAGUACUAACGGCCGGCACACUCCCAUAACGGACAGCGCACGUGCGAGCCACGUGCUGGAGAUUUACCGAGUGUCAAGUCGUUGCCGAGUGUCAUGUGGAUGUUUGCCGAGUGUCUUAUUUGCGACACUCGACAAAGCUGUUGUUUGCCGAGUGUAUUAUUUUUGCCGAGUGUUUGCUAGUAUACACUCGGCAAACGGUGUGUUUGCCGAGUGCCCGACAGAAAGCACUCGGCAAAGAUUUUACACUCGGCAACGUUCCUGUUUCCGGUAGUUACCCCACAAAACUCCAACAAUAUUUCAGGUACUGAUUUGGAAAUUCUAAGUUGAUAUCCAUGGACCGGAUCUCUUACUAGUCAAACGCCCAUCAGUACCCAAUAUUAUUUAAUCUCGUUGUUUGAGCACGUGCAGUGCAUCUGUCCAAUUAUAAACACAUGCACAAUUGAAUUUCACAGACACUGAAACAGAGUAAAAUUGCCAUGCCAAGUCUUCAUAAGCCUAUUUCAUACGGAAGCUCUUUUCCAUACGUGCCAGCAAGGCUGCCCAGCUCCUUCGACCAUUAUGGCUGCGCGCUUCAGCUGACAGGGGCGGCAUCCGUACCCUUGCCAUCUCACACCAGUGAAACACUCAUCUUUAAUUCCAGUUGGAUAGGGUCAUAGAUCCUGAAAAUCCAACCGGAAUUAUCUAUUCGGGAUAAAGAAGCUGUCUUUAGACCCCCUUUAAUCUCGGUUGGUAAAAACAACAACCAACCGGGACUAAAGGGGCCGCCAGCAUGCAUUAGCACGCGCCCCUUUAGUCCCGGUUGGUAUUCCCAACCGGGACUAAAGACUUUUUUCUUUUUAAUUUUUUUUUCAUAUUAAUGCUAAUUGUUGCUUCACAUAUAUAUACGUAUACAUCCUUAGCGUACACUACUUAAACGUAUAUGCACGUAUUAUAUGCAAGUCGUGUGUGUGUCUAUAUAUAUAUAUAUUUCAUGAUAGUACUAUAUAUAUGUAUAGAUACAAUUCUUAGUAUAUUAUACACAUCAAACUAUUAUUUAUACAAUUACUAUAUAUAUACAAUAAUUUGCCCUCUUCAUUCUUAGGAUCAUCCCAUUGUAGUGUUGCUCCGUUCGACUAGGAUCAUCCCGUUGUAGUGUUGCUCCGUUCGACUACUAAAUGUCCAUUGUAAUAAAAUUUUCCUUCGAAAUUUAUCACCUCGUCCACUAGAAAUCCUAUGAGACCUUAUUGGAUUGCCAAAAGCCUCUCCUUCUCCAAGAGUUUUUCUUUAAUCCGCAACAUCUGUAAUUUGAAAAUAUGUGAAUGUUACACGGACAAUUAAAUAUAAGGAGCUAGAAAAUAAUUAAUUAGUUAUAGUUUUAUUUUACAUACAUCUAUAUUGUCCGAUAUCACCUUAUCCCGCACAAAAUUGUUCAUGUGCUCAUAGACGUAGUAUCCACAUAAAUUAUUGCCUUGUUCCUGUCUCAAGCACUUUAGUAGAAAAAGUACAAGUUAUGAAAUAUUCGUGUUAUAGAAUGUACAAAAUGUGCAAACUUCCUACGUACCGGGAAUGUUGUAUUGAAUGUAAGUUUUUCUUUGCAUUCACUAUGAUGAGUCUUACGGAAUUAUUUCCAUGCACUGCGAAUUAAAAUAAUGAAUGGUAUAUGAAAAUUUACAAAAAAAAAAACUUUUGCAUAGAGAUAAAGGUCCAGAAUUAUUAAAAGUUUAGCAUAUCUUGAAUGUCUUUGUACUCCACCGGUGGUUUCCUCAAUGAAUCUAACACAAUAAUAUUGCUUUUAUCAAUCAUAAUUACAAGGAGAAUCCAGUGGAAACUGCGUACAUAAAUGUUCAUAUUAGAAUUAAGUAACAUUAAUUAGGUAAGGAAAACGAAAACGAAAAUAGACGGUACCCACACACUUAGUUGUAUGGCAGUAGUAUGUAUUGCUUGUAAUUUUGUGACUCCAAAAAAUUGUAUAUUGCAUUCAAUGUAGGCUUUGGUUGAUCCCGUAUCUAAUCUUGGUUUACGAGCGAUGGAUCCAUGAAGCCAACAUUGAAGUACGAUUUUUUACAGCACCUCAGAAUUAGCAUCUUGCAUAAAAUGGAAGACAAUGUUAGUAGGGCGAUGCACACACACAAAAUAAUGAUCUGAGCUAAAAUUUACAUCUUGAUAACCAGACACUUAUAGGACUUGAUGCUGAUGAGAGAGACGUCAAGAGCAUCCUGAUGAUACACUUGAUAUAUAUCCUUGAAUUGCAACCACAGGAGUUUCUCACACCUUCGCUAAAAAAAUCAAUCGGUUUAACACGAAGAGUGAACAUGAGCCUUUCCUUGGCCGACUGCUCCAUGUACCAUUGAUGGAAUUCAUACAUCUUCGUAGAGAGCUUCCAUACCAAUUCAGGCCUUAGAGGCUUGCCUACCUCAAAGGACCAUUUAGGUACAAUCUUUUCUGGAGCUGGCGGUUCAGCUUGCCCUAGAACAUCAGCAAACGAUAGACCUGUAUUUUUCAUAAACAUAAUGACUUGGAUUUGUUGUUCUAAGGGCAUUGCUGCUAUAACUUGAGCAUCUUUAUCUCCUUGCUCCCUGAGCUGGGGGACAGUACGACUGGAAGAUGACUCUCCUUAUUUUCUCUUCUGAUAAGACUGAGCUAAUGAAUGCUCAUAGUUCGAUAGUAAAAUCUUAUUUACUCCUUUUUUCAUGCCAAUAAAAAACUUUAAUUUCGCUAGAUCUACUGGCUUAGGCUCCAUCAUCUUUGCUUUUCUUUGUUUAGCGCAUGCUUGGAAGAACUCUCUCCCUGUGCUUGCGAUGCCUCCUGCAAUUCCUCAGUAUUCAUAUCGCCUAGUAGCUUCUGAAUGGGUUCAGACUUUUUAUUUUCUUAACAGGUUCUUUCACCUUUGGCUGCCUUGGCUUGGAAUGCGGUGGUCGUGACUUCUUGAGAGGUGCUGCAGGUUCCUUGCUCGCACCAGAGUUUAGUCAGGGAGGGGUGUUUUGGUCGUUGUCACUCGCACCACUAGGAUUCAAUAGAGAUGAAGAUGGUGAUCGAGCCUCAUGCGACGGUCCCGGUGGUGACAACGGUCCUGGAGGUGAAUGUGCUGGAGAUGAUGGUCUUGAGUUCUGAGGUGAUGGUAGCUGUGGGGAUCUAUGGGAAGCAAUGAUGCCUCCUUGCUGAGGAUAAUAACGUUUGUGCCAUAGAAUGAUACCGUGAAGUGCAUCCGCUAGUGUCCUUUUCCCGUCACCUCCUGGGAGGUCGAGCUCUAGGCCUUCAUAUUGACUAUCACAAAUCUGCUCUAGGCCAACGCUGGAGUAACCAGGUGGAAUUUCUGUGCAAUGGCUUGUCUGUCCUGGCAGGAUUAGUAAAACACUUCUGUACGCUACCUGUACAUAUAGGAGAAAUAAAGAAGUUAUUACAUGAAGCACAUUCAUGCCAUGUGCAGAAGUCUAUGGAGAGCCACCUCCGCUCCUCCAGUAUCAGAGAAUAGUGUAAGCAUAUUCAUGCCAUGUGCAGACAUUCUUCUCUGAUAUUGGAGGAGCAGAGGAACCAGCUCUUUAGAAUGUUCCUCUAAGUCUAUGGAGAGUCACCUCCGCUCCUCCAAUACUAGAGAAUAGUAUAAGCACAUUCAUGUCAUGUGCAGACACUGUUCUCUGGGAUUGGAGGAGCGGAGGUGGUACAUCCAUUGCCGGUCCAUCUGCAUCGUAUUACGUGAAAAAUGAACAUAGGAUUUCGUAUUAGAUAAAGAACUUGAUCAAUAUUAGAUAGGGGAAAAAUAGAGUAAAUAUGUUUAUAAUAUUUAGUCCUUACAAUAAACAUGAGAUAAAUAAAUUAUUAGUCAAAGAAAUAGAAUUAUUGUUAAAUUAGAGUGACAUCAAAAAAUUGUAGCAAUGACCAAAUUCUAUUUCUUACACCCUUAAUUUUAUUGCAUAACUAAAUAUUAAAAACGCAUUUACUCUAUUUUUUCCCAUACAUAAUAUGGAUCAAAUUCUUUACCUAAUACGAAUCAUAUAUAACAAGCAAGUUAUUCAUCAAAUUCUAGCUUAAAAAACAUAUAUAAAUAAAAAUCAUUUCCAUUCUCCCUCAUUCUAAAAAACUCAUUUUUCUCUAUCUCUAAAGUAAAACAAAGCAUAAUAAUAAUAAUAAUAAUAAUAAUAAUAAUAAUAAAUGAAGGGAGGAUGAAGUAGCUAACCUUUAAAAUACUUUGGAUGAGUGAAAUUCCCACGGAAAUGAGGAAAAAAAUCGAGCAGCACCUCCCUAAGGUUGCUUGCUCGCCAUGGAGGAGGAAGAAGGUUUGGUGAGUGGCUCGGGCUCGGGGAGGAAGAAGGUGAAUUUAUAGGUGAAUUUACAGGGAUAAAAGCUCCCACCAGUGGUCAGAUUUUUAGCCGUUACAACCGGGACUAAAGAAGGGGCUUUAGUCCCGUUUGGUCUUUCCAACCGGGACUAAAGCUCCCCCGUCGGUGGCCGUGGUGGGUCAUUUGACCCAAGAUUAAAGGCCCUUUAGUCCCGGGUCCAAAGUCAACUAGGACAAAAAAAAUAUUAGAUUGCAGGUGAGUUCUCUACCCGUAUCAGCAUGUCUUGUAUUCUUUAUUUUAUGGGUGGAUCUGAGGGGGGUAGGGUGGCUCUAGCCCCCACCCAAAAAGUUGGAUUGGAGCCAAAGGAGGAAGAUGGGGAGAAGAGGGAAAAGUUAAGAAAAAAAGAAAAAGGUGGAGAUGGAUGAGGACGAAGAAGCAAGCCCCUAAGAUUUAAUCAUGCCUCGGCCAUUGCUUUGUUUCCAUGAUGAAAUGGACAAGUUUAAAUUACUAAAAUUCGCACUUACAGGUUAUGUUUAUUGCCAUGUCAUCUCUCUGCGUGAACCCCAAGUUGAGUCGGCAAAGGUUCUUUUUUCUUUCUCCCACUGACGUGUGGGCCCACAUACUACUGAGGAAGGUCAGCUGACGAGGACAUUACAAACUUGCAAGCCUUAAGCACCUUCAAGAUGUAAGUUUUUUUCAUUUGGCUUUUACUACUGCAAAACAGAAUGUGGACAGCCGAUCGCUUGGAUGGCCCAAUGACUAUUUUUGCCUUGUGUGUGAACGGAACCUGGAAACUGUGAACCAUCUCAUGUUUGGAUGUCCAUAUACGCGACAGUUUUGUGAAGCGAUCAGUUGAUGGACGAAUGUUUAAAUACUAAUUAGGAGUAUUAAAUAUAGACUAUUUAUAAAACCCAUUACAUAAGUAGAGGCUAAACGGCGAGACGAAUCUAUUAAGCUUAAUUAAUCCAUCAUUAACAAAUGUUUACUGUAGCAGCACAUUGUCAAAUCAUGAACUAAUUAGACUUAAUAGAUUCGUCUCACCGUUUAGCCUCCACUUAUGUAAUGGGUUUUGUAAAUAGUCUACAUUUAAUACUCCUAAUUAGUAUCUAAACAUUCGAUAUGGCAGAUGCUAAAAAUAAGCAGAGUAACCAAACUAGGCCAAAAUCUCCAAAGCUCCUGGAAAGAAACGGACAUUCAGGACUGGUUCCUCUCCCUGACAGAGCAAGCCAGGUCUGAUACAAAAGGAAUUUGUAAGCAUGACAAUUGACAAGUCAGAGCACGAGCACGGCAGGAAUUGUAGCCUGGAAUUAAAUAAUCCGGAGGUAAUUAAUUCCCGUCCAACACUCCAGCCUCACUCUGAAGCUGAAGUCUUCGCAGCUGCUAUCCAUGGAAGAAAAUUCAGGCGUGCGGGACGCUUACCCGGUCUCAGACCAACGACAUGUCCGUCAGUAUCCAUUUCAUCUCGUGGGGAAUUGUGUUGGGUCUUCACCAAACAAAAGGUAAGACGAAGUAGCAACACGACACGAAGGUCUUCACCAAACAGUGGCGCUAGGUGGUGGACAUUCUUUUAGCCUAGGGCUACCCCUCUUUCUAUGUUUGUUGCCAUUUGCUGAUCACCGUACACUGUUAUGACCCCCUUGUGCGCGAGUAUUUUCAUGCAUAGGUACAGUUGCCUAAUUGUUGCAUCCAUCUUGGUGAUGAAACCGCGACCAAGUAUUGCAUUAUAGGGGUAGUGUAUCUCCACUACGUCGAAUGUGAUGUGUUCUGUUCUCGCAUUGUCGCGAUCCCCAAACGAGACCGGGAGAGCAAUUUUUCCUAAAGCUUUCACUGGCUUUCCACCAAAGCCGAGAAGUGGGAUGUCGGCUGGGUCGAGCGUGUUCAUAUCAGUGUUCAUUUCUAUGAAGGCGUUUGCAAAGAGGAUGUCCGCGGAGUUGCCCGUGUCAACUAGAACUUUUCCAACCGUCCAGCCCGCUACCAGCACUUUAAUGACCAUCGCAUCGUUGUGCGAGGUUAUCUUGAGCUUGAAGUCUUCCCCUGUGAAGGUUAUGGGCAUGUGUGCCCAUUCUGACUUUGUUGGGGGUCCGUCGGGUACGAUUACAUUGACUUCUCUAAAAUAGUUCUGCCUCUGCCUUUUGUUCUCGAACUCUAAAGAGGAGUCCCCAGUGAUUGGCAUUAUCAUGCCAAAGGUAGGUAAGGAAUUUUGGUUGUUGUUUUGCGUGCUUGGCUCUAGUUUGGGCAUUAUGGCUGGGAUGCUUGGGGGUGGAGGUAGUGUUUCUUGAGGCUUCUGAGGUGGAGUUGGGUUGGCAUGUUGCGGGAUUGUUUGGUGGUACGGUUGUAUGUGUGGCAGAAGAGGCCAGGUCAUUGGUUGCUGAAAAUUGGCGAAGCUAGGCUGGUUGGGGUAAAAGCUUGGGUGCGAGUAAAAAGCUGUGUGGUGGAUUGUUUUGGGUGCUUGCGUGGCUUCUUCUGUAGCCUUUCUCUCUUCUUCUUUCUUUUUGGGCCACCACUCUGUAUUAUGAUGGUUCUGGUGGCCAUGGUUGACGCAGUAGAAGGAUUUUCUGAUGUCUUCCUCGACCUCGUCCUCUACCAGAGUGGUCUCCUCUUUGGGUGUUGUUGUUUUGGCUUUGACUCUAGCUUUGGUUUUGGUUUCCCUCAAUGUUCAUGACACAGUUCUAGUUAGAGUUUUGAGGCUUGUUGUAAGGCGAAGGUUGCCAACUUCGGUUCUGGUUUGCUUGCCGUUCCUUGUUACGUUCCGUCACUCUUUUGCGGUGGUCCUCGUCAGACCUGAUGUAUUCAUCGAGUUUGCUGAAAAGAGCACUCAUCGUUUUGGGCUACUUCCUUGAUAGCUUCGACGCUGUUGGGCCAGGGGUGAGGCCCGCGAUGCAUGCGGAUAUUGCUACGGAUUCCUCAAUGUGCGGUGCUUGGAACGAAGCUGGACAUAUCUUCUUACAUAUUCUGCAAGUGGCUCCUUGUCUUUUGUUUGCAUUGGAAAAGGUCUGCUUGGGCUGUUAGGGGAUGAUGAAAACCCUGAAAGUUUUGUGUGAUCUUCGCCUUGAGGUCAUGCCAGCUAAUCACCGUGUGUGGAGGGAGUAGUGAGUACCAAUUGAGUGCAGCGCCUUCGCAAGCAAUUAUGAAGGACUUGGCGAGGACGACAUCAUACCCUCCGGUCGAAGCUACGGCGGCUUCGUAACUCAUUAGGAAUUAUCGUGGACCUGUCCAUCUGUUGAAUUUGGGCAGGGUGGUUGGCUUGUAUGUUGCUGGCCACGGUGCAGUUUGGAGCCCGAAUGAGAGCGGUGAUGUGGUGUCGACCACGAGAGACACCCCUGAUGAGUGAUGUUGGGUGCCUUGCCCAAAGUUGAGACUGGGUUGGAACUGUGCCUGAUCAACGGUAGGGCUUUGGUGAAAAUAAGCUACGGCUAGGUUUGCAUUCUCAUGUGGGCUUUCAAGCUUCGCAAUUUCUUUCUGUAAUACUUCCAACUGUUGCCUAGCUUCGUUCAAUUUUGAUAGUCUGCUCGAGGCUUCCCUCUGUUGUUGCACCUGUCGUGCUGUUCCUUUUUUCUUUUGACCUCCUCUAUCUCCCGAAGGACUGAGUCUAGCUCAUUGUCUAGGUCAUUGGGGCUUAGUAGCUUCGGGCAUUGUGGGCUGAUGGCUCUGUUGGCCGUCAGUGCGGUUGGUAGCUUCAUUUGCUGUGGGUUGUUGGCCUUGGUGGUUGACCUCAGGUACAGGUCUCUUAUUCAUUGCUUUUGUCCUUAGGGUUUGCUCGACUCUUGCAAGGCAUUCCUCCUUAUCCGAAAGAACCUGAUAUGUGGCCUCGGGAGUUAUAAGCUGAUCGGUCUCCACUGUGCCGACUUCUCUUUGUAUUGCAAGUCUCUUCUUCCGUUGUGGCGGCACCGUAGGCUACUUGUUGGGUCAGACCACGGUGGGUGCCAAUUGUUGGGUCUUCACCAAACAAAAGGUAAGAUGAAGUAGCAACACGAAGGUAAAAAUAUCUCAAGCAAUGUAACUGUAGCUGUCCUAUCAAUGAAUAGUAUCUAUUUUAGACGGGACGGCUCACCUCCCUUUAUAGUGCCAUAAAGUUACAUUUCCGUAUACUUGUUAUACACAUACCCAACAACUACAUCCUAGGCAUAUCCCAUACAAGACAGUGACUUGACCCUUACUCAAGAUGUCGCUUUCAAGUAAGAUUACAUUUCUAGCCCCUCCCAAAAUCUUUAUUACCAAAGUGCUCCUCAGUUGAUGCAACUCCAGGACUAUCCUAACUUCUCCUUUUCCUACUCGUCAGCUUCGCCCGCACCAAGUACGCCUCCGUGCGUACUCCACCUUCGUUGGUCGAGAUCAACUAACCUCGGACUCUGGUUGUGGCAUCUCCUCGAAGUCAAGUCGCUGGGAGUUCCGUGGAGGUUUCAACUUCAGGAAUCCUCGCCUACAAAACCAUAGAACGAACAUCUUUGAACCAGUUAGCUUCGGUUAAUUAUUACCUUCGGGGAAGAGUGUAACCACAAAGUUAGUGUUGGUGUCGGGGAGAGCUCCACGCCAGCUCCGGGGCAUUUAUGGGGCAGUCCCCAACAAAUUGAUGACGUGCAGAAUUGUGCAUCCCCUCGCCAGACUCCAGCUAUAACAAUGUUUGCAUGAUGGUUGGUCUUCUCGCAUUGACAGUAACAGCGCAAUGCUUCGUGUCAGUGAGCUCCCUCUCGUAGCAAGCUCGGUCUUGAUUUUCUCCUUGAUGUGCCAACUCCCUCAUGGCGUCUGGAGCUGCGCUCCCGCCGACCGGAUCGCACUCUCUAGCUUCGCCAACAAUCUUGACGCGGCGAUCAACGGGUGGCCAGGCGCGGAGAUCUACUCCGGCGACUGUUGCCGCUGGAUCGGGGUCCGUUGCCACCGGUUCGGGGCAUAUGAUGGGCUCCGGGUGGUCAGCCUGGACCUCGCCGGCCGGGGCUUUGCUGGCGCCCUGCCGGGCACGCUGGCUCGCAUGGACGAGCUGCGCGUCCUCAACCUCUCCCGGAACUCAAUCCAUGGCGCCGUGCCGCCGGAGCUCCUGCGCAUGCCGCGGCUGCGGGUGCUGGACCUCAGCGAUAACAACCUCACCGGCGAGCUCGGCGGCGCGAAGCCGGCGCCGCCGGAUGCCUCCAGGCUCGUGCACCUCGACAUCUCCCUCAACAACCUAACGAGCCUGCGGGCCGGCGUGUUUCGCGGGCUUCCACGGCUGCGAAGGUUCUCGGCCGAGUCCAACCGGCUUACCGGAGUCGUGCCCAGCUCGCUGUCGGCGUGCUCGGAGCUCGAGUACCUGAACAUGGCGAACAACUCCCUGCACGGCACUCUCGGUUUGAACUUCUCGCGCCUGACGAGGCUCCGCGCCCUCCAUCUCGGCUGGAACCGGCUGAGCGGCCACCUCCCGGCGAGCCUCUCGCGAUGCCGGGAACUCAGGGUGCUCAACCUCCGCCGCAACAACUUCUCCGGGCCGGUCCCGUCAGCUUUCCGGCGCCUGCAGGCGCUGUCCUUCUUCAACAUCGGCAUCAACCGCGUCGCCGGCAUAGCGCAGGCGCUCCGGACGCUCCAGGAGUGCCGCGCCCUCGCCGUCCUAAUCCUCACCAGCAGCUUCCACGGCGAGGAGAUGCCCGCCGCCGCCGCCGGCAUCCGGGGGUUCCCAAGCCUGCGGCUGCUCGGCAUCGCCAACUGCGCGCUCCGCGGCGCCGUGCCGCCGUGGCUGCGCGCCAGCGCCCGCCUGAGCGUGCUGGACCUGUCGUGGAACCGGCUGGCCGGCGAGAUCCCGCCGUGGCUCGGCGGCUUCGACUCGCUCUACCGGAUCGACCUCUCGAACAACGCGCUGACCGGGGAGAUCCCGCUCUCCCUGGCGCGCCUGAGGUCGCUCGCCGGCGACGACGCCCCGUGCGCGCAGGUGUCCAUGUCCGAGUACGGCGUGCUGCUGUACAACUGGCACGUCGACCGGGGUCAGCUCUGGUACGACCGCUACAUCCCGCCGUCGCUGGACCUGAGCGGGAACGACCUGACCGGCGUUAUCCCGCCGGAGAUCGGCGGCCUCCGGGCACUGAAGAUUCUGAACCUGAGCUGGAACGCGCUGUCCGGGCCGAUCCCGGCGACGCUGGCGACCCUGAGCGCCCUUGAGACGCUUGACCUGUCGAACAACGAGCUCGCCGGAGAGAUGCCGGCGUCGCUCGCGAGGCUGACCUUCCUGUCGUGCUUCGACGUCUCCUACAACAGGCUGCGUGGCCUGGUCCCCGUCGGUGGCCAGUUCUCCACGUUCCCCUGCUCCAGCUUCGCCGGCAACCCUGGCCUUCACGGCGAGUACUGUGACGGCAACGGCGUGGUCGGACCGCCCGAGCAUGAUGGGAGUUUCCUCGCCGUUGGAAGCCAGAUGUUUGGGUUGCCGUUCUGGCUCGGGACGAUCUUCGGCCUCUGUGCCACCUGUUUGUUCAUGUUGUUGCGCUAGAGAAAAGCAUCCGUCGUCCAUCAAUAUGGAACAUACUUUUUCUUGAGUGGAUAUAGAACACACUUUUUUAGGAACUCGUCGGAACUUUUCCUUUAUUUUGAUUUCUCUGGUGAUAUACUCCGUAUUACUAGAACUAGUUGUGAUAAAAGUUGCUAUCAUAUUAAAUUUCAUUUGAAUAUAACUAUAAUUGAAUAAUCAUCGACUUUUGUACACGAAACACAUACUACCUCCAUUUUAAAUAUAUGACUUAGAACAAGCAAAAUAAUUCAAAACAUCAUAUAUUUAAACCGAGGGAGCAUAAUUUAGCUAAGCUGUUUGUCGGAAGUUUUAAAGUUUAACAUUUUUCUAAUAAUUAACGGAUGCGUGGUGAGGUACGCAAGUACGCAACUAACGGCUACCCCUCCAUUCCAAAAUACUAUUCAUUUUGACUUUUCUAGAUUCAUAACCUUUUCUAUGUAUCUAGAUAUACGCAAUGUUUAUAUACAUAGCAAAGUCUAGAAAAACCAAAACAAAUUGUAAUUUGGGAUGGAGGGAGAGUAUGACACAUAGCAUUGAGUGUCAAAUUAUUAAAUGCCAAAAUAGUUCCAGAAGACCUAGCCAUUUGAAUGCCGACAAGUACUCCCUCCAUCCCAGAAAGAGUGUCAUUUUAGGUUUGUUCUAAGUCAAACUAUUUUAAGUUCGACUAAGUUUACAACGAAGAGUAUUAAUAUUUAUAACACUAAAUAGGUAUACUAUGAAAAUAUAUUUCAUAAUAAAUUUAAUAAAAUUUGUUAGAUAUCAAAAACAUUAAUAUAUUUUUAUAUAAAUUUGGUCAAAUAUCAGAUGCUUUGAGUUAGAACAAAAUUAAAAUGACACUCCACGUGGGACGGGAGGAGUAUCACAGGGUGGUGCGCUCUUCACUAGAGCAAAGCCCAGAAGCAUACUCAUAAACAGGCCAAAUUUGAUAGGCUGACACCAGUUGGGCCUCUUGCACUUUUCAAGAAAACUCAGCCGCAGAUUUGUUUUGGACCAGCAAUGGUUGCGCAUGGUUUUUAAACUGUAAACCUCAUCUAAGACGCCCAUUUUCGAUUUGAGCCAUCAGAGUAAUACAAAUCAGAUAGUAGUGUCCGUUAUCUUUAAAUUCCAUGCAGAGAGCCAUCUUAUGUGUUGGGGGGAAAUAUUAACGAUCCCCUAACAUACCACUUAAGGAAGCAGACACAAGGGCCCGGGCCCACCUAGGCGUGAUCAAGGCUCCGCCUCGCCCGAUCAAGGGGCGGGGAUCGGGAACGUCCGACCCCACCCUCUCCAAAGUUUCCGCCUCGCCCGACUGCGACCCCGGGGUCGGGGGCGCCCGACCCCUCGCCACGGAGUUCCGCCUCGUCCGACCCUAAGGGAAGGGGUCGGGCGCGAUGGGGCCCCCAGGGCAGGGAUCCCCCUCGGAUGCGGUCCAGAUGGGCAAGACAGACAAAAUCCUGUGGGUCCCCCGUCGGCCUCGCCAUAAAUGCGCCGCAGGACUGGCGGAGGGAAGGGACGACCGCGCUCCUCACGCAACCCGUCACAAGUACCCGUGCAAGCUACAGUGUCGGCGGCUGACUCCCAUUCGCCGCAGGGUACUCAUGGCCUGCGCCGGCCGGAGCGAAGGAGAGACCGGCCUGUCCUUGGGCCCCGCGCGCCCUCGGGACCCGCACAGCAAGGAUGCGACGCCCUCCCUCCGGGAGCCAUCGUCUGAACAACAGCAUCCACCGUCCUCCCCAACAGACACCAGGAUAACGACGGAACGCCCUCAUCAUGACCCGACGCCUACGGGUAUCGAAGGAGCUACCUGUAGGGUGCAACAACACUUGGCAUACGGCGGCCUCCCCCUCCGGCAUGCGCGCCGGCGUUCGCCCAGGGCCGGCAGAGGCGUCGGACGCCUAGGAUCUUGCUCCUCCUUUCCUGCCGUAUUUUUUACCAUUCUACACUUUACUCUUUACAGUCCUCUUUACCCGAUCCCAACUGUAACUCCGGCCACCCCCUUGCGAUAUAAAAGGCGGAACCCAGGGCCGGAGGGGGGAUCGGCUUCUUCUCCCACAAGCCACAGCACACAACGACUCACCCGGAGAGCAUAAGCACUAAAGAGACUUGGGACCAGUCCCUCUCUCGUCGAUCUGUAACCCCCUACUACAGAACCCCACGUGGGCAACACGAACAUCCUCGAUACUGGACGUAGGGCUUCCCUUGCCCGAACUAGUCUAAAUCCAUAUCUCCCACGCCACCACCUGAGGCUUUACGCGCAUAAAAGAAAUUUACUAGUCUAAGUCUUGAUCCGCCGAUCCUGACAACGACAGUUGGCGCGCCAGGUAGGGGACCUUUGCGCGUACAUCUCCAGCCUCAGAUGGCCAAUUACGAUAGCAGCUUUGCUCCGGGCUCCCUAAUCCGUUUCGGGAGCCUGGACUUCCUCGCCACCGGGGAAGGGAUCGAGCUGAUCCCUGUCGUCGUCUUGCCCGCUCGUCCUGCUGCCCUCGGCCCCGCCGCCAGGACAGCGGCGAGUGGCCAGUCGCCUACCAGAAGGACCUCACCAGGGGGACAGCCCUUCGGGCUACGCAACGCCACGGGGGCAUACGGACGCCUCCUAGCGCGGUCCUUGACCACGUCGCCCGCGAGCAGCGAGCUCGUAGGCGUGGGGAGGACAAUCUCUGACGCUGGCUCCAGCAGCGGGAGUCCUCACCCCUCGCGCGAGUGCCUUGUGGUCGACACGCACUCUGAGGGGUCCAACGGCGAUGAUGCCGAGGGGAGACGACAGGCUCCCCCCUCGCGCGCCGCUGCUACAACUGGAGCCUUACCAAGGGCCCCGGAGGGCUCUCGGCAACCAGAAGCGCGCGUGGGCGCCCACCAAGAAGUAGAGCACCCCCACCACGAAGGGGGAGCGCGACAACGGGCGCGCGACGUCCAGCAACGCAUCUGCGCGGACGGAGAGCGUCCGCUGCUCUUUGCCCGCGCUAGCCAAAACGUCGCAGCCGCGACGGUGUUGCUCCGACAGCUCCCCGAACCAGCGACGCCCGAGGAGCGACGGGCACGCCAAGAGAUAAGCAACCUGCUCGAGUGCGCUGCCGUCCAGCAGGCGGAAAGUUUGGCGUCCCGGCGACGCGGGCAGAACGCCAGCCGGGCGACGCCUGACGCGCCCCCAGAACGGCGGGGGAAAUCUGUCCAUCAACCCCCUCCGGGGGCGAAUCACGCCGCGUCCGCCCGACGGACCCCGCCACCCGCGGGAGGCGAGGCUCGAUCCGUCCACCAGCGUGUCGGUCUCGUCCGCGACGCCCGCGACACCCUGAACGUGCGGAGACGCUCCCGCGCGGACAGGGAGGACGGGGCAGAUCGAGGCUACCACGUCCACCGUGGCGGGCGCUACGACAGCGGGGAAGACCGCAGCUCGAGCCCAGGAAUGGCUGGGCCUCGGGCCUUCUCCGCGCGCAUCCUAAAUGCGCCCUUUCCGCCGCGCUUCAGGCAACCCACGAGUGUAGCCAAAUACUCAGGGGAGACAAAUCCUGGAGUAUGGCUCAGCGAUUACCGGCUUGCAUGUCAAGCCGGCGGGGCGGAUGAUGACCUGUUUAUCAUCCGCAACCUACCCCUUUUCCUGGCAGACUCCACACGAGCUUGGCUAGAACAUAUCCCUUCGGGACGCGUUCGCAACUGGAACGACCUGAAAGAGGUUUUCAUAGGAAACUUCCAAGGGAUGUACACGAGCCCCGGCAACUCCUGGGAUCUCCGGAGCUAUCGUCAGGGGGCGGACGAGUCCCUCCGGGAUUACAUCCGGCGCUUCUCCAGAAAGCGCACCGAGCUCUCCAACGUCGCGGACGCCGACGUCAUAAGUGCCUUCCUAGCAGGGACCUCUUGCCGACCCCUCGUCCACGAGCUGGGGCGCCGAGGCCUGCGAACCACGGAAGAGCUCCUCAAUAUCGCCACUAGCUACGCCUCCGACGAAGAGGCAGUCGGAGCGAUCUUCGAUCGUUCCAAAGGCAAGGCGAAACGAGAGGAGGACGCCGACGAAGGCACUUCCAACCGCCAGCAGAAGAAGAAGGGCAAGCAGCGGCGCGAGGCCCCCCUCGUGGCCGCAGUCGAGCGCAAGCGGGGGCAGCCGCCCCCCGAAGGCGCUCCCGGCUUCUUCGACAAGUUUCUCGAGGGACCGUGCCCGAACCACGAGUUCCCCGUCAAGCACGCCUACAAAGACUGUAACCUCAUGAAGAGGUACUUUGUGGGCAAUCCAGUGAAAGGCGACCGGAAGCGGAAGCCUGAUGAGGAAAAGAAGGGUGACGAAGAGAAGGAAGACGGCUUCCCUAAAGUCGACGGCUGCUUCAUGAUCUUCGGCGGCUCCGCAGCGUACGACACCAAGCGCCAGCAAAAGCUGGAGCGCCGGGAGGUCUACGCGGCCGAGCCUGCGACUCCGGCCUUCCUCGACUGGUCCGGGCCGGCCAUCACCUUCGAUAGGUCCGACCACCCUGGACGCGUCCGACAUCCGGGGCGUUAUCCUCUCGUCGUUGACCCCAUCGUCGGCACGACGCGCCUCACCAAGGUACUCAUGGAUGGGGGCAGCGGCCUCAACCUCCUCUACGCCGAGACUCUCGACGCUAUGGGGAUCGAUCGCUCCCGCCUCCGUCCCAGCAAGGCACCCUUCCAUGGCGUCGUGCCAGGGAAGCAGGCGACGCCCCUCGAGCAAAUCGACCUGCCCGUUACGUUUGGGACCCCUUCCAACUAUAAGAAGGAGGUCCUCACCUUCGAGGUGGUGGGGUUUCGCGGAACCUACCAUGCCAUCUUAGGACGGCCGUGCUACGCGAAGUUCAUGGCAAUCCCCAACUACACCUACCUCAAGCUCAAGCUGCCAGGGCCCAACGGGGUCAUCACCGUCGGCACAACCUUCCAGAAGGCAUAUGAGUGCGACGUAGAGUGUUGCGAGUAUGCCGCGGCCAUCACCGUCACGAGCGGCAUGGCUGUCCAGCUUGCGGAGGUGACCAAAGAUCAACCCGACGCCAAGCAGUCGAAUACCUCCUUUGAGCCCACCGAAGGUAUCAAGGAAGUCCCUCUCGAUCCCGGCUGUUCCGAUGGUGGGGUUGUGCGGAUCAGCGCGGCUCUAUCCCCCAAAUAGGAAAGCGCGCUCGUCGACUUCCUCCGCGCGAACAGCGACGUCUUCGCGUGGAAGCCCUUGGACAUGCCUGGCAUCCCGAGAGAAGUCGCCGAGCAUUCCUUGAACAUCAGGGCCGGCUCCAAACCGGUGAAGCAAGGCUUGCGCCGUUUCGACGAGGAAAGGCGCAGGGCCAUUGGUGAAGAGCUCCAGAAGCUCCUAGCGGCCGGGUUCAUCAAGGAAGUGCGCCACCCCGAGUGGCUGGCCAAUCCUGUCCUUGUACCAAAAAAGAACGGGAAAUGGAGGAUGUGUGUCGAUUAUACCGGUCUCAACAAAGCGUGUGCAAAGGAUCCGUUUCCUUUGCCACGCAUAGAUCAAAUAAUCGACUCAACCGCCGGGUGCGAGACCCUCAGCUUCCUCGACGCAUAUUCCGGUUACCACCAGAUCGCGAUGAAAGAGGCCGACCAGCUCGCUACCUCCUUCAUCACCCCCUUUGGUCCCUACUGCUACGUUAAGAUGCCGUUCGGCCUCAAAAACGCGGGGGCUACCUUCCAGCGAUGCAUGCUGAAGUGCUUCGGAAAUCUCAUCGGGCGAACCGUUGAGGCCUACGUCGACGACAUCGUGGUUAAAUCCAGGAAGGGUGACCAGCUCGUUCCCAACCUGGAGCUAGCCUUCAAAAGGCUGAGGGAUAAGCGUAUUAAGCUCAAUCCCGAGAAAUGUGUGUUCGGUGUCCCAAGGGGCAUGCUGUUAGGAUUCGUCAUCUCCGUGCGCGGCAUCGAGGCAAACCCGGAGAAGAUAGCGGCCAUCAGCGACAUAGGGCCAAUCCGGAACAUAAAGGGGGUGCAGCGCGUCAUGGGGUGCUUAGCAGCUCUAAGCCGCUUCAUCUCGCGCCUCGGCGAGCGAGGUCUUCCUCUCUAUCGGCUCCUGAAGAAGUCUGACCGCUUCGAAUGGACCAGCGAGGCCCAGGAGGCACUUGACCGACUCAAGGACCUCCUAACAAAGGCCCCAAUUCUAGUCCCGCCCGCCGACGGCGAGUCCCUCCUGCUCUACGUCGCGGCGACCACCCAGGUGGUCAGCGCGGCCCUAGUGGUGGAGCGGGAGGAGGAGGGUCACGCUCUUAAGGUGCAACGCCCGGUGUACUUCAUUAGCGAAGUCUUGUCCGAGUCCAAGACACGAUAUCCACAGAUCCAGAAGCUCGUCUACGCCAUCCUUAUCACGAAGAGGAAGCUGCGUCACUACUUCACCUCCCACCCGGUAACGGUCGUUUCAUCAUUCCCGCUUGGUGAAGUAAUCUGGAACCCAAAUGCCACAGGAAGGAUCGCGAAGUGGGCGCUCGAGCUUAUGGACCAGGGUAUCACCUACGUCCCCCGCACCGCCAUCAAGUCCCAGGUACUUGCCGACUUCGUGGCCGAGUGGACGGAGGUACAAGCACCGUCGGUGCCAGAGGAGCAGGAGUACUGGACGAUGUACUUCGACGGGACACUGAUGAGGGCCUGCGCCGGAGCAGGCCUCGUCUUCGUCUCUCCAUUGGGCGUGCACAUCAGGUACAUGAUCCGCCUCCAUUUCCCUGCAUCCAAUAAUGUCACCGAGUACGAAGCCCUACUCAACGGGCUCCGCAUCGCCAUCGAGCUGGGUAUCCGUCAGCUAGACGUCCGGGGCGAUUCUCAGUUGGUCGUCGAACAAGUCAUGAAGGAGUGGAGCUGCCAUGACCCCAAAAUGGCAGCCUACUGCAACGAGGUCCGUAAGCUCGAGGACAAGUUCGACGGGUUGGAGCUCAACCACGUCGCAAGGCGCUUCAACGAAGCCGCUGACGAGCUGGCGAAGGCGGCGUCCGGCCGGAUGCCCGUCCCCGACGGCGUUUUCGUUAGCGACCAGUUGAAGCCUUCAAUCCGUUAUCUGGAGCCGGCAGGGGUCGGCGAAGCACUCCCAGCCCUGGGGUCGGGACCCGAGCCGGGGGAGGCCGGCAGCGCGCCACCUGUCCCGGACCCGAGCACCGGUCCCGAGGGAAUCAACGCUGCCUUACCCGACUCGGCCCUGGAAGCCAAGCCGUCCGACCCCGUGGUCAUGGAAAUCACGGCAGACCCCGCGGCGGGGGCCGACCCCCAAUCGACUGGAGAACCCCGUACCUCGACUACCUUGUCCGCGGCACGCUCCCGGCAGACAAAACAGAAGCCCGCAGGAUCGCGCGCCGUGUAAAAUCCUUCACCAUCAUUGACCAGGAGCUCUACAAGAGAAGUCAUACUGGGAUCCUCCAGCGCUGCAUCCCGAUCGAGCAGGGAAAGGCGCUGAUCCAGCAUAUCCAUGCUGGGGCUUGUGGUCACCACGCCGUGCCAAGGACACUCGUUGGCAACGCCUUCCGACAGGGUUUUUACUGGCCAACCGCGGUCGCGGAUGCCACCCAGGUAGUCCGCACCUGUGAAGGAUGCCAGUUCUUUGCCCGCCAAACUCACCUGCCCGCGCAGGCAUUGCAAACCAUCCCCAUCACAUGGCCGUUUGCGGUCUGGGGGCUGGAUCUCGUCGGACCCUUCAAGAGGGCGCCCGGGGGCUUCACCCAUCUGCUCGUCGCUGUCGACAAGUUCUCCAAAUGGAUCGAAGCAAGACCAGUGGCGCAAAUCAGGUCCGAGCAAGCGGUACAGUUCUUCACCGACAUCAUCCACCGCUUCGGGAUCCCAAAUUCCAUCAUCACCGACAACGGCACGCAGUUCACCGGGAAGAGAUUUCUCCAGUUCUACGACGACCACCACAUUCGAGUGGAUUGGGCGGCAGUGGCGCACCCCCGCACGAACGGGCAAGUCGAGCGAGCCAACGGCAUGAUACUCCAGGGUCUCAAGCCACGGAUCUUCGACCGCCUUAAAAAGUUCGGCGGACGGUGGGUUGCGGAGCUUCCAGCAGUCCUCUGGAGCUUGAGGACGACCCCCAGCCGGGCGACAGGGUUCACCCCGUUCUUCAUGAUCUAUGGGUCAGAGGCCAUUUUGCCCACCGACCUAGAGUACGGAUCACCGAGGGUCAAGGCAUACGACGAACAGGGAAACCAGGCAUCACUCGAGGACGCACAAGAUCAACUCGACGAGGCACGAGAUGUAGCCCUACUACACUCGGCUAAAUACCAGCAGGCCCUACGGCGUUACCACAGCCGCAAGAUACAAGGCCGCGCCUUCAACGUCGGUGAUUUAGUGCUCCGCCUCGUCCAGGACAACAGGGAUCAGCACAAGUUGACUCCCCCAUGGGAAGGCCCGUUCAUCAUCGUACAAGUACUACAACCAGGCACCUACAGGCUGGCAACUCCCGACGGGCAGAUCUUCAGCAACGCCUGGAACAUAGAACAGCUAAGGCGCUUUUACCCAUAGCUUUUAUUUCCAGGUUCUGCAUAAACUUGUCGUCAUUUCCGUUCUUUCAUUUAAGCUCAGGGGCAUCCGACCCUGGCCUCGUUCCAGGGCCGCAUACCCCUCGGGGGCUACCAGUUUUGUUCUCUAGCGAAAAAAGAAACCCCGAGCCACCUCGGUUCAGGCCUUUUCCUUUAAGCUCAGGGGUAUCCGACCCUGGCCUUGCUCCAGGACCGCAUACCCCUCGGGGGUUAUCAAGGGUCCCGACCCCAGCCGCUUGGCGCCACCUAAAAGAAACGGUUUUUUCUUUUUCAAACCGAACACUCCCUUUCUAGACCUUUGGACGCAAAAAGAGAAGGAUGCGUGAAUGGUGCUCAGGCAAGUUUUGAUCGGACCGCGAAAAAACCUACGCCCCAGCGGCUACGGCACCUUCGCUCAUCAAAACUUAUUGACGCACCCGGCAACGCAUUCUAAGCUUUCGAGCCCAAAGAACCAACAAAGGGAAUCGGGUUUUUUCACGCAACAAAAGUCAUAGAACAGGCCCGUAUGGCCAACGCAAAACGAGUUCAAAGACUGACAUAAUUACAAACUUUUUUGGGGCGCCAGCCCGGCACAGCUAACUUGACGAGGGGUCGGCAGGAGGGGCGGCCUCAUCCUCCAGGAGCUUCGUGAGGGCCUCCGCCGGCGCGGUCACCGCGGCAUCGAUCUCGUCCAGCUCAGCUUCGGUGUAGCUCGCGGCGUACCCUUCACUCAUCCCGGCAAAGUUGAUGCCAGAAUAGUGAGAGCCGAAGACCCUGAAGGCUCGCCGCACGCCAAGGUGAAGCGCGUCCACGGCGAUCUCGCGACGGCGAUGGCGUACCCCGAGGACACGAGCCGGCAGAGAGCUCGACCCCUCCUCCAGAGCUACGCCAAAGUCGUCGCAGACGACGCGGGCCGCAUCUCGCAGGGCGCUGUGCUCACCGCGCUCCUCGUCGAGCAGGCCCCGCAACUUGGCGAUUUCACCUGCAGAAACCACCCAGAAAAUCCCACCAAGUCAGAGAACAGAACACAAACAACACGGGAACGCAGGAACGGAAAAAACCUCACCGUCGGCCUGGGUCUUCAGCUCACGCUCCCGGUCGGCCCCUCGGGACACGGCGGAUUGAAGUCCCUGCACUUGCGAGCGAAGUUGGCCGGCCUCCGUGCGGAGGGCGUCACGCUCCCCCCUCAGCUGCGCAAGCUCCUCGGCGUCGCGGCGGGCCCUCUCAGUAGCAGCUUGAAGCCCCUCGGCAUCACGGCGGGCCCUUUCGGCGAUGGCCUGGAACUCCUCGAGGUCGAGGCAGGCCUUCUCGGUGACGGCUUGGAGCCUGGCCCCCGCACGCCACGCCUCCUCCGACGCCGCCCGCUCACGCCCUUGCAGGUCGCGAAUGACCCCCUGGGCGGCGCCGAGUUGCAGGGACAGGUCCCUGGUGCGCUCCCUUUCGGUAUUGAAGCGAUCCCAGAGACCCUGCUACCGCCGGAGGAAAUCAGAUUUCCCCCAACUGCCCUCUUGGAGAGCCUGCAAAGCAACACGCCGUUAAGGCAAAAGGCAGAAGGGAGGUACUCAUCACCAACAGUAGGAGCAACAUACCUGGCUGCCGAGGAGGACGGUGUUGCCCAGAACUCCCAGCGCCGAAGAC
rnacentral:lncRNA from 1 species